UCCUACACAAAACACGUAUACAGUCUGUCAGUUCACGUUACCCCUUACUAAAAUACGCUAAGAAAAGGAUUUCACAUAUUCAACCCUAAGAGAAUGUUUCAUAAGAUAAAUCUUUGUUUGAAAUGAAAGAUAUUUACGCAACAAUAAAAAAGAGAACGAAAAUGGGUAAGAGGAAACGUUGGAAUUUGUAAUGAGGUGUGCAGGGAGGAUUUUAUUACCAUGUGGUGUGAUGCAAGGGUGGUAUCUAGUAGUGGUAAGGAGGAGGAGGAGGAGGGGAUUUGUAGUAGUAGUGGGGUGGAGGUGGUGAAGGGACUGGAGGAGGAGGAGACUUGUACUUAUAAGGCUUCUUGUGAGGUGAUGGUGGAGGAGAGUGGUAAACUGGGGUGGGGACAUGGGGAGGGUAGGUGGGAACUGGUGGCGGUGGGGAGUGGUAGACUGGGUGGGGGUGAGGGUAGCGGUGCCUGUGCACUGGUGGAGGAGGGGAAGAGUAUUUGUAUGACUUCUUAGGAGGGGGUGGAGGAGAGUGGUAAACUGGGUGUGGGUGAGGGUAAGGCUUGUGCACUGGUGGUGGGGGAGAUGGGUAUUUGUAUGGCUUCUUUGGUGGUGGAGGUGGUGGGGAGUGGUAGAUUGGGUGAGGGUGAGGGUGAGGGUGUGGGUGAGGGUAAUGGUGAGGAGGGGGUGGAGGAGAUUGGUAGACUGGGUGUGGAUGAGGGUAGGGCUUGUGCACUGGUGGUGGUGGAGAUUGGUAGACUGGGUGUGGAUGAGGGUAGGGCUUGUGCACUGGUGGUGGUGGAGAUGGGUAGUGGUAGGGAGGUGGUGGUGAGGAGACUGGUGGAGGUGGAGGAGAGGAGUAGGAGUAGUGGUUGCCGGAGAUUUGAGAUGGGAGGCUGAAAAGGAUAAUGGCAAAUGCAAGAGUGAUAGAAGCAGAGGCCAUUAGGGACCCCAUUUUCCUCCAACUGAGUUUUGGUUAUGCUCUAAAGUGAGCUUCUGCAUCCCUUUUUAUAGUUGCUUCUGAACCAUUUAACUCCAACCUACACCUUUCUUAACUCUACUUUUUUUCACUUCCACACUCACCUUCUCGGAAACACGUUAUCACGUACGUAAUCCUGGUUUUGAACUAUUGCCAUGACAUUGACUUUCAAACCCUUUGGAACACGGUUUUGGAUUCGAUUCAUCUAUCAAAAUAUUACGUGCCUUUUUUUAUGCAGAUCUCUAAUCAAAAUAUCAACUUCAUUUGAUGAUGUGUAAUGUAUUCUUCCUAUUAUGCAUGUUGUUGAAGUAAAACUUCACUUAUGAUCAUGAUUGAAUAGGAGCAUUAAAAAAUACUAACCAAAAACAUCUAAGUUUUGUUGCUUUGAAACUAAUUAAGAAGGUUAACAUUACAAGUUAAAUAUGGUAAACUUAUUGGUUUGAAUUAUUCUGAGUCAUAAAUAUUGUAUUGUAGAAGUGCUUUUGAUUGUGUAGAAAUGAAAAAGGUAAAAUAAAAAUAAGUGCAGGGAUGCCAGACUGUGGAGUCUGUAGCUAGGCUGAAAUGCUGACACAACCUUUAUUUUUCUCUGUGUGGCGGAAGAAAAGACAAACAAUAUGAUUUAAUUAUUUGUUGCUUCUAGCACUGAAACAUCACUCUGUUAAAAAACAUGCAUAAUUUUUGGGUACUACUUUUUCGUUAAAAUAAUGACAUAAAUGAAUUCAGCUGUAUCAAUUGAGGAACUAAAGUAAAAAUAUGGAUAAAUUUUUCACAUAUUUUAAAAAUUAUUUUUCUAACUUACUUUCCCAAUUCAUAUCUAAUUUCAGAAUCUUUGAAACUUGUACUUGUCUAAAGUGGUACUGCAUGAUAUAGGGGCACCUAAAACUACAUAUUUUUCAUCCUUCCCUGUCAUUAAUUAAGUAUUUAUUAAACUAUUUUUUCAGUUCUAAUAACUGUAUGAAAAAAAAAAAUCUCCACUGAACAAACUACAAGUUUUUUUUUCUCUUUUUUUUAUAUAUUUUAAUAAGUAUUUUUAGAAAACUAAAUAAAAAGGAACUCAAACAUUUUUAUAGGCUAAAUUUCUUUAAAAAAUUGUGCAUCGUAAGAAGGAUAAGUGGGAAGGUUUCAACUUGGGAGAUAACACUCUAAAGUGAAAAAACAUUUUAAAUUGGGAGUUGAACUUUCUUUGCCAGCUCAAUGCAGGUCCAUAUAUAUAUAUAUAUAUAUAUAUAAUAUUAUUAAAAAAAAUUAUAAAAUAGAAACUAAAUUUUUAUAGACCAAAAUAAUUAAUUAUAAUAAAUAAAUUAAAUAGUAACUAAAUUAAAGAUCACUUUAAAAUUAAUUUCAAAAUUAAUUUUUAUUAUUAUUAAAUAGUUUCUAAAUUGGUAUCUAAUUAUCAACUAAUGUUUUAAUUACCAAUUAUUUAGUUUCUAAAUUUGGUUUUUAAAAUCUUGUUAUUAAUUAAAUAUCAAUUUAAAAACUAUAUAAUAAUAAUAAAAAUUAAUUUAGAAACUAAAAUUUCUUUUAUUUUUUAAAAUAUCUAUAAUUUAGUUACUAUUGCAACUAAUUAUUUUGAUCUUUAAAAAUUGAUUUUUAUUUCAUGAUUUUCUUGUAGUACAUUGAUUAAUGCUUAAAAUAAAUUUAUUAAGUAAUAGAUUUAAGACGAGGUUGAUAUUUACUUACAUAUUAUAUAUUAUCAAAUAUUAUACUUUGAUCUAAAAUUUUCAGCACGUUUUCUUAGGUUGAAAUUUUCUAAUUCGUGGUAUUGUAAUUUUCUAAUUCGUGAUAUUAUAUAUAUAUAUAUAUAUAUUUUAUUUGAUAAUAAUAUAAUAACCGAGGAUAUGCUAAACUCAAUCAAUUUUGUUAAGAUAAACUUAACUCUGAUUUUAUAUUAAAUAAUAAAUUUUAAAUAUAAUUUAAUCUUAUAAACUGAAUUAUGAAUUAUAAAGUUAGGUUUAUAAUUAUUUGUAUAUUAUAAAAAUCUUCAUAAUAUUUUCAAUUUUUGUUAAAAUGUAUAUUCUUUUUAUUUUAUUUCUUGACAUUAUAAAUUAUACGAAAAAAAAAUGGUAUUCUAUGCUCCAUUCCCGAAAGCACCAUUUCACGUGCCAUUGUCAUGCAUUUCUACCUAUAAUAGCUUACUGGAGUAGGCCAAGACUCACGAGUUAUCCAAAGUAAUCUUUGUUUUCUAUUUUCCCUCUUUUUCGGGAACUUAAAUUAAAAUGUUUUUUUGAUUAAAUAUAAUUAAAGUUAAUUUAAACUUAUUAUAAUAUAAUAUUAUAAGAAAGGAUGUGGAUAAACACAGUCAUUAAGAAAAUGUAUUACUUUACAUAAUUGUGUAUAAAUUAUUAUAAUAUGAUCAAUUAUAUUAUUUUACAUGCUCAAUUAAAUGUUUUCAGAGAAUUAUAUUUGAAGUUGGAAAUAUUUUUGUAUGAAUUUCAAACUCUUUUUUCUUAAUCUGUAAAGCUGGGAUGAAUUAUUGAAUGAAAACUCCUCAACAGAUAAUUCAGAAGUGACUCAAAAUUCAGAAAACAGAAAGAGAAAAUCAAAUUAAAUUUAAUGAAUAGUUUUAUUUCCAAGGCAGCAUAGGGUAUCCUAAUUUCACUAAUAUUAAUUUGAAAAUUUACAGUAUUCGGGAUUUUAUUUUGUAAUGUCUUCUGUAAAUUGUUAAAUAUUAUUGUUGAGAUCUACCUACCUAUCUACCUAGCCAACUUCAUAAAAUAUUUAAUCACCUUUAAAAUUUAUGUUUUAUUAUCUUUAUCCAUGAAUUAAAUUUAAUGAUUUUAAAAAAUAAGUUUAUGUUACAAUUAAAAUUAUUUUACUGGUAUACAAGUAUAUUUUACAUAUUCAGAAAUAUUUAUUUGUUAUAAAUUUUAAUAACUGUAAUUUUGAUUUUCAAAUAUAAAUUAUAAUUGUAAAAUAUUUUAUAUAAUAAUUUUUUUUAUUAUAAUUUCUACUUAUACAAAACGUAAAUAUUUAUUCGAAUAAUACUCGUGAAAUUGCAUGUGCAUUUGUUGAAUCUGAAGAUGGGCUAGUAUAAUUAAUUUUUAUAGACAAAAAACUGUGAUUGUAUCUUUUCAAUAAUUUGUAAAUCAGUUUCUUUUCUAUGCAUAUACUGAUGAGACUUAAAUAAAGAUUUUGUGUAUUAGUUAAACAUAAACAAAUUUCAACCAUAUUGAUUCCUACUUAAAACACCAUUUCCAAUAAUAAUACAUACAAAUCCAUCCACAGAAAAUACAAAACGAUUUAUCAGAGCUAAAAUAUAAUGUAUGAUAUAUCAUAAUCUUUAUUAGCAUGUGCUUGCUACUAUAAUUAAUUAAAGUUUUAGACAAAAAUUACCUUUGAAGAUAACUUGAUACACCUAAAGAGUUCCAACAUAAUGCAAAGCUAAAGAAAUAUAGGAAAUGAGCGUGGGUGGUUCAGUGUGAAUUGGAUAGGAGAUAAGACUCUAUUAAAUAGACUUCCUGAAAGUCUAAAUUCACCCAAUCAAUCAAAAUAAGUUUGAAUUCAAACUUCAUUGCCAAAAUGAAUCUCUGUGACAUUUUGAUUAUUGUACCCAAAGUGAAAAUUGUAGCCAUGUGAACAUAAAGUUCUGAGUAAAGUGUACGCUUGACAUGUAUUUUGAGGAAGAAAACAUUGUUUGUGAGAAAAUCAAGUUGUUGCUGCACGACUUUGCAAUUGAAGUUGCCAAUAAUGAGAAAUUUUUUCAUUUUGUGCUUAUGCAAAGUUGUUAUUAACAGUGAAGGAAACUUUGAAAAGGAAGACUGAAAAAUAUUAUGACCAAUGCAAGAGUGAGAGAAGCAAAGGCCACUAAAGACCCUAAUUUCCUUAAAGUUGGUAUUGGUUAUAUGGUCAUGUUGAGAAACCCAAACUAGCCCCUUUUAUAUACCAUUUAGCUCUAAGCAUCUUCCUAACUUUAUUUGUUUCCUUCACAAUACUACACGCAUGCACCAAUGGUUUUAGGAGCAAGUGUCCCAAAGCGUUUUUGGAACGGUUGUGACUCUAAUUGCUUUUGGAACGUUGAAUUUGGAUUUCACAGGCUGCGUCCUAAUUAAGACAAAGCACGUUUAUUUUUCUUUACAUCCCAAAACAUAGCAUAAUAUAUAUUUAAUUAUCUUUGAUUAUAAGUUUCUAGCAUUCACAAAUUUCAUUCCCCAAAUUAUUUGUUUGUUGUUGUGUGUGGUUUAUAGGGAACUAAAACACUAGUUUAUAGGGAACUAAAUCUCUGAAACUAUAUUUGAUAGUUAUGAGAAACUAGUAUAUGGUAUUCACAUUUUCUCUGUUGUUGAUUGCACUGCCAUUGUAUUAUACAUGUAUCAAGAAAACGUAGUGACUUUGUAAUUCUGUUUCGUAGUUUUUACAUAAAAAAUUACUAGAUUUUGUAAGAUAUGAAGCAAGUGUGGGGAUUAUUUGUUCCUAGGGAAAGUUUUAAAGUGAACUUGUAAGUGUCUUCAAAUCUGUUUUGCACAAUAAAUAAGUGCGACGUAUUAGAUUUCAAACAUUGCAAAAUAAAUGUUACAUGUUUACAUAGGUUUUUUAUUGGUAAGUAAUUCAAUUUUUUUUAGAGGUGGUUGUGAUUUUAUUAUAAUUUUAAAGUCAAAUAAGUGAGUCGACGGAUAUUGGAUAUCAAACAUGGAAUAAAUUUUGCAGUUUUUUAGGCCUGUGAUAAGAAAAUACAUACAUUACAACAUUAUUUUUAAUUAAAAUAUGUUUAGGAAAAUGAAAUGUCUCAAUCUGUGUAGAGAUUAAACUCUAUAUAAUGCUCUGAUACGAAAUAUGAUAUCAUCGGAAGUGUAAUUAUUUGGCAUAUAUAUUAUACUUUAACAGCCGAAAACAAUCAUUUACCAAUUAAUUAUAUUAAUAAUUUAAUUAUAUAUUUCAUUUUUAAAAUUAAAUUAUUAAAAUAAAAUUGUGAAAUAUAUCUUAAAAUAUAAUUUUUCACAUAUAUAUUCGAUGUAACGAAACUGACUUUUAACUAAUCCGAGAAAUCGGGUAAGAACUUUUCGAAGAACUGAAGUGCCUCUCCAUUCUGAUAUUGACAAAAGGAAUUUAAAACAUUCAAAUCAAUACAAAUUAAAUGUACCUAUAAGACUGAAUUUCAUUUCAAUGAAUUUUAUGAGGAAAAAGAUAAAUAAAAAAUAAAAUAAUUCUUUAUAAAAUUAGUUUAUGUAUAAUUUAAUUUAUAAAAAUUAAAAAAUAAUUUUAAUUUGUGUAUAUAUAUUAAUUUUUAUUUAUAAAGAAAUUUGUUUUAUUUUAUUUUUCAUACUUUUUCUUAUAAAAGUCCUUUUAGAAAGACUAGUCUAAAUAUAUCCCAAAAAAUAUAUUAUUGUACUACGACAUCAGUACACUGACAUCAUGCAUAUGACAUGACUGAAAAACUUUACUUUGAUUUUAAUUUUUCACAUUUUUAUUCAUCUUCUCAAGUUUCUUCAAUUAAGUAAUAAUAAUUUAGUAAAAUAUUUUUUUAAAUGAUAAAUUGUUUAUUAUUUAAUUAUCUUAGUAUUUUUUUUAAUUAUUGUUAUUUAACUGAAUAAAUGGAGAAAAAUGGCGCGAAAUUUCACUAUUAAUAAAAAUUAAAUUUAGAGAUAAAUAAUUUUCUUUAUGAUAAUAAAAGUAAAAUAUAUAAUAAAAAUUGAUAUUAUAAUAAUUAUCAAAAUAAUUAUUAUUAUAAAAUAAAUAUUUUUAAGGCAUAAUUAAUUACCCUUUUUCUUGCAACAUUUUCUAACUUUAUUCAAUUUAAUCUCUAUAUUUAAAAAAUAAAUAAAAAAUGAUACCAAUCUUGUUUAGAAAGUUCAAUAUGAUUUCAACUUCUUUUACUAUUCAAUCUGAUUCCAAUGUUUUUAAGAGUUUAGGGUGGUCCCGUUUUUUUAAAAAUAACUCAAUAGGAUGAUUCAAACCUUUUUUUUUUUUAAAUCGCUAAGAUAUUAAAAUGAAGACAUUUAGCAUGAAGGAUCACAUUAAAUCGUUUCUAAACAAGAUUGAGAACAUUUUGAAUUUUUUAAACAUACGGAGAUUAAAUUAAAUAAAGUCAUAAAAUGUUGAAAAAAAAGUAAUUAUGCCUAUUUUUAAUUAAUUUUUAUAAUAUUAUAUACUACAAGAAAAUAUUUAAAUAAAAACUAAUUUUAGAGAAAAAAAAUUAGUUAUUAUAUUAAGUAAGUUAUAUACUAUUUUAUAAACUAAACAAUUUUUUAUAUAUAAAGUAGUUUUUAUUAUUAAUAAAAUUUACAAACUAGUUGUUAAAUUAUUAUCUAUCAAGGUUUUAGCUAUUAAUUAUGUUAGAUUAUAAAUUAAUUAGAUUAAUAAUAAGUAUAAUUGUAAACAGUUAUGUGUAAAAAGAAACUUUUAUUUUGAAAGAAUAAACCUUAUUAAAACCUUAUAAAAAAAAUCCUAUUGAGUUGAAGAACAUUAGGGAUAAAAUAUUGAGUUAAGGAAAAUUAGUACUUUAUCUUAUAUUCAACGCAAAUCAUAAUGUAUACACCAUAAAUCAAUCAAAAAGGUGUUUCUACCAUAGAUGUUUGGGGAAUACACUGAUAUCCCACAAUAUGUUGGGUAUAUUUUUGGCCCAAAGAUCUUUGGGUUCCCCAAGAUUCUUUUUGAGUUAUGGGUUUUGCGUGUAGGAGUAUGGUAAGUUUGUGACAUAUGAAGUUAGGAUCAAUCUCUAGCGUUUCCACUAGACUCCAUGUGAAGAGGUCAGAGUUACUGAAUAGUACCUUUUCUAUAAGGAUCUAAAAAUUUACUUUAGAGUAAAAGUGGUAUAUUUUAAAUGAUACUUGAAUAUUUUAUUAUUAAAAUGAAAAGAACAUAUAAAUAGAAAAAUCAUUUAUUCAGAUUUCAUUUCAAAAGAACCACCAUCUCUCUAGAAGUUUCUUUUUUCCUUUCCUCACCCUACUCUCUAAGAUUAUGACCUCCUCGCUCAUCAAUUUGACGAUCGGAGUCUGCUAUUAAACUCUUGGCAGCGAAGACUACAAGACUGCCCAAUCAAAAUCUCUUAUAGAGUAAGUUCAAUUUUACUCUUCUCUUUGAGUCAAAUUUUGAACUUGUAGGUCUGUCUCAAUUUAAGUUUACACAUUUGACUCUUUUAGCUUUAAGAUUAGUCUUUGUUAUCUCAGAGUCCUAGUCAUAUAGUUAAAAAUUUUAUCAGGACUUUGUGGUGCAUGUUAAGCUACUAUUGAAGCUUUUGGUAGGUUUGAAGCUCUUAGGCUUUGUUUGGAUCCAGGGGUGCCACUGUUGGCGACGACGAAAGUCACAACAACACCCCGUUUGGAUCCAUGCAUUGUUGCGGGUGAGGGUGCAGCGAAAGAGAAAGUUGAGUGAAUUGUGUUUCUUCUGAAAGAUGAAGAGAAAGUUUCACUGUGCAGUGCAAGUGCCAAGUCAUCACCACGAAAUUCCAAUGAUGCCCUUACUUUUGUGUUGGAAUCAAGAAGCACAGUGGCUGUGCAUGCAUGCCAGAUGAAAGCAUGAAAUUCCUGACUUGGCUCAGGAAUCUAUUGACCAUGUGAAAGUUUGAAACCUCAUCAAUGAAAUGGGUGAGAGGUAGGUGCGUGAGAUUUUUGGUUUCUUUAUAAACGUUGCUUCCUCCAUUCAUAGUCACAGAUAAGCGAAGCAUAAGCAAAGAGAGAGCGAAGCAUAAAGUGUGUAGUUGGAGAGAUUUGUAAGUCAUAGUGUGUGUUAGGGGCUUCAUUAACGUAGAGGUUAUUCAUCUGAAAGUGAUGUGUUCAUCUCUGGGUUCAUCUGUGCCUUCAUGUGGUUCAUCUCUGGGUUCAUCUGAGGUGAGUUUAUAUGUUUGAUUGUUGGUUAAUCGAUUAUGGUUUAAAUAUCACAGGCAAAAUAAUCGAUUAUAGUGUAAUCUGCAAAAUUUCCCAGGCAUAAUCGAUUAUCUGUAGUGUGUAAAAUUGCUCUUAAUCGAUUAUUUGUUGUGAUAAUCGAUUAUUGUUGUUUUUAGCCUAGUAGCAUAAUCGAUUAUGCUUUGAUAAUCGUCUUAACUGUGUAAAAGGGUUCCUAAUCGAUUAUGUGUUGUGAUAAUCGAUUAUGGUUGUUUUUUUGCCUACUAACAUAAUCAAUUAUGCGUUCAUAAUCGAUUAUCCUGUGUGUGUAAGUGAUGCCAUAAUCGAUUAUGUUCUAAAUUUUUUGAAAUAUAAAUGUUUGUUAAUUUAUUUGUUUUCUGUUAUUUUUAGGUGUGUUGAUCUUCCUAUAAGCCAUCCUAUUGCUGUUCUUGAGUGCUUAUCUUCAGGUUUUAAAUUUUUUUUAUGUAAAAUUAUUUUAUUUAAUUUCUGUUUUAUAUUUAUGAUUAUGGUUUUGUAAUAUAAUUUGUUUAGAAUUUAUUUUAGUUUAUUAUGUUAAGGCUGUUGUUGUAAUAUAAUUUUUUUAGAGUUUAGUUUAGUUAAUUAUGUUAAGUAGUUACUAGAUAGUUAAUUAAAUAUGUUAAGGAGUUUAGUUUAUUAAAUUAAUUGUUUCAGUUGAUUUAUUAUUUUAAUUUUUGUAGAUAGUUAUUAAUUUAUUAAGAAAAAUAUUUAUUUCUAUGAAAUGAAUUAUUUACAGAAUGGAAACAGAAAUUUGUAAAUUUUAGGUUUUUUAUUAUAUUAAACAUAAAUUAUUAAUGUUAUAAUUAAAUCAAAUAAAAAAAGUUGUUGUGAUUAAAGAAAACUGAAAAAUUUAAGAUAAAUAUUGUUUAUAAGAGAAUAUAUAUUGUAUAAUAAUAAAUAUACAAAGUUAAUAAAUAUUGUAUAAGAAAACUGAAAUAUUGUAUAAUAAUAAAUAUAUAAAGUUAAUUUUUUUUUAACAUUUAAUAGAAAUGUUUAUAAGAGAAUAGAUAAUUUUUUUAAAUGAAUAUUUGUAUUCUGUAUGGUUAAUAUUUUUUUAAAUUGGACAUAAAUUAUUAAUGUUAUUAGUUGAAAAGAUUAAAAAAAAUGUUUUUGUAAUUUUUGUUAUAAGAUUUAAUUGUUAUAAGAAAAAAAUGAAUGUAUUUAAAAUGAAUAUUUUUAAAAAUUUGUAAUUUGUAGGUUUUUUAAAAAGUAAUUGAUAUUUUAGAAGUAUUAUUUUUAAUUGAUAUUUUAGUUAUAAAUGUAGAAAGUAAUUAUUUAUUUCAAAAUGAAUUGUUUAUGAAAUAGAUUUUAAAAAAUUUAUUUUGACAUAAUGGAAUUCAAAAUUUUAAAAAUAUUUGAUAGGGUUUUCAUUUUUGUAGAUUAAACAUAAUUUAUUAAUGAUAUAAUAAAAAACAUUAUAAAAAUGUUGUAUUAAUUAAAAAAAUAGUAAAAGUUUAAAGUAGAAAUAUCAUUUUGAGUUAUUUUGAGUUAUUCAGGUGGUGAAAGUCAAAGGAGGUUCAUAUGAAUGAGUAAGUUGCUUGAAAGAUAACUAAUUUGACUUGCUAUAUGAAUUAACCCUGUCAUACUAGGGAGAGAUUGUAUUGAGAUUAUUUAUGCGCAUAAAUGUGUGGAUUUCACAGUAAUAUAGUAUGACAGGUGCAAAUCUUUGAGUCUAAGUUAACGCACGAGUCUUCCGGAAAUAUAGUCAAAUGUCUAUGUGUUGUGAGUCAGUAGAAGUCUGACAUGUGAAAGAUAAAUUAUGAAUUUUAAUAGACACUUGAUGAUUUGAGAAAUUUUAUGAGACUUGAUGAAUUAUGUUUAUUAAUGUGAAAUUGAAAUUAUAUAGAAAUUUUUAUAUAACUAGCUUACCAUGUUCUUUGUUUGUGUUUGUUUCUUUAUCUGUGAUGAUCGUGUUUUACACGAGAAUGAGAUUGCAGGUAAUAGAGCUCCUUAGUGAGCACCUGAAGGAUGAAAUUACUUUAAUUUGAAUGUUUUGUUUUGUUUUUAAAACUUUUGGUGUAUAUAUUAAAAUUAUACAAUUAUGAGAUAGUUGUAUAUACUCAUAUGUUAAUUAGAUAUUGUUUGUUUUACUUCUGUUUUAUUAAAUAUGGGUAAAAAUUAGGAAUGUUACAUCUUCAAUCCGCUUUCGAAGAUAUCAACUAACUGAUUUACCAAUCUCCAGGUUGACUUUUGAGUUGCACUUAUACUAGGGGUUCAUCAAAAGAUGGUCGAUUCUCCACAAACUCGGCCCUAGGAUCUAGAAAACCUCAUUCUCAUCGUCUUAUGGGAACUCAAUGUGAAACGCCUGCUCGAUAAAGUUGUUGGUAUCCCCAUGGCCUUGGUCAUUUACUUCCCUGUGCUCCUUCGGGUAGGCUAUGGCCUCGCCAAUUGUUGUUGUGGUCAAGGUCUUUACAAAAUAAGAGAUGACCUUGAUGUUCUCAACAUAACACUCCCUUAUCAUCUUCAGAUUUGCCUUCACUAUGAUUAUUUUACCAUUGUCACUGAAAACUUCAUGGUCAUGUGUAGUCGACACUAUGGCGUCCAAUUGAUUAAUACUUUUGCAUUUGAUGAUGUCAUUGCAGGAUGUGGUACCACAAUGAGAGAUAAAUGGAACUCUUAUUCUGGUCAGGGGAAUAGUAUUUUUGUUUCAAAGGUAAGCUGAAGAGUAUGAAAGUUGAUAUCAAGGUGUGGAAUUGGGAUGUGUUCGGGCACCUGGAAUCUGAGAAGAAGAAUUGUUUGAUGGAUAUUGAGGAGCUUGAUGUCAAAGAUGAGGGUGAUGCUUUGCCAGAGAGUUUAAGGACGAGAAGGUUGGUUCUCAUCAAUCAUGUAGAAGAGAUCAAUAAGAAGUUGGAAUCUAUGUUUAGGCAGAAAGCUAGAGCUAAUUGGCUUACGUUUGGGGACUCUAAUUCCAAGUUUAAUCAUUAUGUAAUUAGAUGGAAGAGACUUAGAAAUGAGGUUAAGGGUGUCGAAGUGGGAAGUUUUUGGGUUGAGGAAUCUAAGGUAGCGCGCAGGGAAGUGGUGAAGCUUUUUGAAGCUAAAUUCUCGGCUACUCAGGAUUUUGGAGUCAGACUUGAGCAUGUUGAGUUCAAAUCCUUAUUAGAGGAGGUUAGCUUAAGUCUGGUGUCCAAGAUCACAGAGGAAGAAGUAAAGGAUGUUGUCUGGUUGUAUGAGGGGUCAAAAAGUCCUGAACCAGAUGACUUUAAUUUUAAUUUUAUCAAGAACAGUUGGGAAGUGCUGAAGCUUGAUGUGGUAGCUGUUGUUCACCCUUUUCAGGAAACAAGUUGUAUUUCUAAAGAGUGUAAUGCGUCUUUUAUUAUCCUUGUCCCCAAAGUUAGGGACCCUAUAAGUCUGGACCAAUACAAACCUAUUUCUCUUGUAGGUUCACUGUAUAAAAUUAUUUCGAAGGUCUUAUCAUGUCGCAUAAAACAAGUUUUACCCGAGGUUAUAGAUGACUGUCAAUCAACUUUCUUAAAGUAAAGAGAAUGUUAAAUAACGUUCUAGUUCUAGUGGCUAAUAAGGUUAUUGAUGAGAUGAGGAGAAAAAAAAAAAAUGUUUUGUCAAUUAUGAAAAGGCAUACAAUUCUGUCAGCUGAGUGUUUCUCUUUCAUAUCCUUUAAAAGUUAGAAUUUCACAAUAAAUGAAUGUUUCUGUUUGAUAUGCUUUGGAAGUUGUGAUUUCACAAUAGAUGGAUUGCGUGGAUCAGAGUCUUUUAAUAGAAAACAAGUAUUUUAAUAAUUUAUACAUAUGAAAGUACAGUGACCGUAUAAAAGUUGUUGUACUGUAACAAAUCAAUAUACAUUAUAAGUUCAUUAUUUUAUAUAAUAACUAUAUAGAUCGUCAAAGUUAAACUAAAGUGACUAUAAAUUAAACUAAAAAAUAAUUAAUUUCCAAAUAUUAUCAUGUAGAAAAUAAGUUGGAGUAAAAAAUAUUAUAAAAAAUAGCUUAACAAUGUGGAAAAAAGGAAAAGAAAAAAAAAACCAUGGAGGAAGAUAACUUUAACUAUGGACACACUCUGAAAGUGAGAUUCGUCAAACAUAUUUUAAGAGUUAUAGAUGAUAGUGAUGAUGAAUAGUGGAGAUAAGUUUCACUAUACUUGUUUUUACCUUUUAAGUAAAAAUUAACAUUCCUGAAAAAAAUAACAUUAUUCAUUUCCAUUUUGAUGGGGAUAAAAUUAGUCUCAUAUUAAUGUAAAAAGAAUACACUGUCUUCUUAGCACCAAUUAAAAAUAAAAAGUUAUAAUAAAAUAAAAUUCAAAAUAAAGUAUUAAAGAAAAUAUUGUUAAUAAUUUAAAACAAAUAUAAGAAUUCGUUAAAUUUCAUAUCUAAUUUAAAUAAUUAAAUUAAACAUUGUUCAUAUAAAGACAAAUUCGAAUAAUAGUAAGACAUAAAAUAUUUUUUCAUCGAGGUGAUUUCACCGAUUACAUGGAACGAUUGAUUGUGUUUUUUUUUCAGAAAAAAAGAAAAAAUAUCUCAUUUGCUUAAAGACAAAAGAAUAUUAACUAUAUUUCUAAAAAUAAAGAAUAAACUUAACAACGAGAACAACUAAUUAAUUAAAUACAUACGUUUGUAUAUAUACUAGUAGCCUAUACCAUGUUUAAUUAUGAGUAUAUGCGAUUAUUCUUAAAUUAUUAUGUCACUUUUGUUUUUCAUAUCUAUGUCCUUCUUAUUUGAAGGCUAAGCCUAGUCACGCAUCAACUUGAACAUCAACUUGGAUUCCUACGGUCCUAUGAAUGCAUAUAACUUGCCCUCAAUCCCACAAUUACAUAAAUUAAAUAAAAUAUUAAAACAAAUAAUUUAAAAACAACUUAAGUGGUUUAAAGUCAGAUUCACUUUUGUAUGAUUUCUUUAAAAAAAAUUACCAUUUUAUUUUAAUUUAUAUGUUACUGUUUAUUAUAAAAAAAAUUAAUUUUAAAAAUUAAAAAAUAAUUAAUUUUUAUAUUGAUUAAAUUAGAUAUUAUUCUUUUAAAUAAUAUUUUAAUUUUUUUUAUUAAUAUCUAAAUUAUUUUUUAUUAUUUUAAAUUGAUAUUUAAUUAAUUAUAAUAUUUUAAUUACCAAUUUUAAAAUUUAAAUACUUAAUAAUUAAAAACUUAACAGCUAAUUAGAUAUUAAUUUAAAAAUUAUUUAUUAAUAACAAAAAAUAAUUUAGAUAUUAAUAAAUUUUUAAUUUUUAAAAUAGUAUUUAAUUUAAUUAAGAUAAAAAUAAAUUAUUUGUUAUUUUUAAAAUUAAUUUUUAUUUAAAUAUUUUCUAACAGUGGGUGAAGCAUAAUUUCAGAUGAAAGAGAUUUUAGGUGUUCUUUAAAUGGAUUUACUUAUAAUAUUGGUUUACAUUAAUUCAAUAUUGCAAUGGUUAUACAAACAUUUUUAACAAGUAUUGUAUUGAUAAUAUUAAAACGUAUUUUAUUUAAUAAGUUUGAUAAAACUUAAUAAAUAAUCAACUUAGGCCUUCCAUGUUAUAGUUUGAAGAAUUAAAAUUGAUUUUUGGUAAAGAAAGUUGGAAAAUGGUGAAGAUUUGUUCCCCCUUCUCGAAAACAAGUUUAAUAUUAAGUGAAAGUGACAUAUGAGAUCCUGAUGGAUCUAAAGUGGAAAACCAGUUUAUGAGAGAUUGGUGUUUUCGAAAGCACCUCAGAAAAAAACAUGUCGGUUGAUUUUAUAAAGGUUCUCGAAUUAAGCAUGUCGGUAAUGACAUUUAAAAUAAACAUGUUUUAUUGAAUCAAAUCUGCAAUUGGUGAUUUGUGUCUGAGACAAUAGGCACCCUUUCAUCAUCAGGAGCAGUUAUCGAUAUUCUUCACAUAAAAUAGUGGAGUUGGUGGUCACUAAUCAAAUGCAACCUCUUUCUUUUUUUUGUUUUGACAGCUCCCAUAAUGAAUUUUUUUUGAAGAAUUUGCGACCUCUUUCACACUGAUUACAUUCAUUUAUAUUUAAAUAAAUUAUUAUUUUAUUAUAAUAUAAUAUUUUAUUUAAAAAAACUUAAUACAUUUUAUUAUAAUACAAUAUUUUAUUCCAAAAAAAUAUUAUAGAAUAAUUACUUUUACUAUUUUGUCUGAAACAAAUUUUAAUCAUUUUAAAUCGAUGGCCGUCCUCCUGGAGCACUAGACCCCAGAUCUGUGAGCUACCGAUGUUGACGAAAGUAUAAAGAAAUAUUUGGAAGUGAGAAUUGCAUUAAUUUAGGAAAACUAAAUGAUUCUUUCUACAAAAUUAUUCUCACUCCUUAAAACCUUGAAUCGUGAUGUCCCAAAUAGGGCACAAAUCAAGCCACCCAUCUUAAAACCCUCAAUAUUGUCUUUACAUCUUUAUUUAUGAGAAAAUAUAACUUAAUAAAUAAUAUUUAUGUUGAAGAUUUUUAUUAUUAAUAAAAAUAUUUUAUAAUAUAUAAAUCAAUAUACACUUUAUAAGAUAAUAAGAUUUGAUAAGAUUGAAUUAAAUUUAAAGUUUAUUUUUUUAAUAUGGUAUUAAUAUAGUUUAUUUUAAUAAAAAUUUAUUAGAUGAUUAAAUUAUCUAUUAUUAGAUUCUUAUGGAAUGAUUCAUUAUAUAGUAUUAAACACAACCUAACAAUCUCGAUGAUAGAUGUUAUGUUAAAAAUUAUGUAUUAAUUAGAAAUAAUAAUAUUUUAUAAUAGGUAAGUUGAUGUAAAUUUUAUUUCAUAAAUUAAUUUUAUUAAAUAGAGUUAUGUUAAAUAUAUUUAUUAAUAUUUCAAACAAAAUUGAGUUAAUUACAAUAAAAAUUAUAUUACUAAGAAUAGUCACAUAUGCUUAGAUAAAAAAUGUUAUCAAUUCAAGUGAGUAUCUGGUCUUCUCCAAAAAAAACUCAACAAAAAUGUCACAUCUUUAGAACUCUAUUUAUGGAUAAAUAAAUAAUUAUCUUAUCUUAAUGUAAUAUAAUUUGUUGGGUAUAUCUUCUUCCAUUUUUCCUACAUAUAAUAUUGACAUAAAUUUAAAACUAGUAUUUUUAUUUAUAUAUAAUAAAAUUUAUAAAUUUAUGUUAUAUACUAAUUUAAUAAAAUUAAUUAAUUUGUAAAUAAUUAUAAAAAUUUGGUGUAUUAUAUUUGUUAUAGAUAUUACAUUAUAAUUUUAUUAUAAACUUAUAAUGUAAUAUCUAUAACAAAUAUAACACAACAAAUUUAUAUAAUUAUUUAAAAAUUGUGGACACUUAUUUCCGCUAGUAUUUAUAAUUAUUCUGACAUAAAAUUUUAACUAUAUUUUUUAGGAUAUUAAAUAAUUAUUAUUCAAAUAUUUUUAAGAUAUUAAUUAUAUUUUGAAAACAUUAUAUCAUUUUUGUAAUAUAGAAAUGGUUAUAUAAAUAUAUUAUAAUUUUGUAUAAUUUAAUUAAUAAUUUUUAUAACUUAUUAAAAAAUAAAUUAAAUUUUUUUCUAUAAAAUUAUAUGCAAUUUUUUUCUAUUUCAAUAUAAUUUAUCUUAUAUCUUAACAUUAUUUAGUUUGUUACCAUAUUUUUAUCUUAUUAUAUUUUCAUCAUGCCAUAUUUUUAUUUUAUUGUAUCAUAUUCUUCUAUUUUAUUAUAUUGUGUUUACUAAACGAAUGUUUAAAAUUUAAAACAGUUAUAAUUUAUAUACAUUAUUUUCUCUAAACUCAUUAAGACGUUUUUGAAAACAAAGAAUUUAACAAAAGUUGAUAUUACACAUGAAAUAAUUCUCAAUCAAAUUUGCUAACGUAAUCAAUUUCUUUUGUAACAUCCUAAUUUUUACCCAUAUAUAAUGAAAUAAAAGUAAAACAAGCAAUAUCUAAUUACGAAUAAUAUAUAUACUACUUUCUCAUAUGUGUAUCUCAAAAGAAAUAUCCCUCCUCAUAGGGAUUUAAUAUAUACAUCAAAAGUUUUAACAACAAAACAAAGCAUUCAAAUAAAACUAUCUCAUUCUCCAGCUGCUCACUAAGGAGCUCUAUUAUCUGCAAUCUCAUCUGCUCCCGUGUAAAACACGAUCAUCACAGAUAAAGAAACAAACACAAACAAAUAACAGGGUAAGCUAUCUAUAUAAAAAGUUUUGAUAUAAUUCAAAUUUUAAAUUAAUAAGCAUAAUUCAUCAAUUCUCAUACGAUUUCUCAAACCAUCAAGUGGCUAUUACAUUCAUAAAAUUCAUAUUUCAUAUAUCAGACUUCUAUUGACUCAUAACACAUAGACUCUUGACUCUACUUCCGGAAGACUCGUGCGUUGACUUAGACUCAGAGAUCUGUACCUGUCAUACUAGCUCACUGUGAAAUCCACACAGUUAUGCGCAUAAAGAAUCUCAAUAUCAUAUCUCUCCUAGUAUGAUAACUUCAUCUAUAUGAUUUCAUUAUCUCAGGAGAGUCAGGAUAUCUCCUUCUAGACGAAUCCCUAGUCAAUGCACAUCCUAAACAAUCUUAACACGAUAUUUUCUUUCCUGAAAAUACUAUGUUUUGAUUUAAAAAUAUAUUCUAAACAUUAAAAUCUCCCACAUCAAACAAUCAAAUCAUUCCACAAUUUAGAAUUUCCAAAACACCCAACAAUUCAUUUCAACUAGAAUGAAAAUAAAAGGAGAAUGAAAUAAAAUUAUCUUCCAACUACAACUAUAUCCAACAGUAUAGUAUUUAAUAAAAAGGAUGAGGAAGCCACAACAUGANNNNNNNNNNNNNNNNNNNNNNNNNNNNNNNNNNNNNNNNNNNNNNNNNNNNNNNNNNNNNNNNNNNNNNNNNNNNNNNNNNNNNNNNNNNNNNNNNNNNNNNNNNAAUUUUAGUUCAUAAACUGAAUCAUCAAGAAAUAUUCAAAAUAUAUAUGCUCUGAAAUUGUCAAGAAACAAAUAAUCACAAACCUUUUUCAAAUACAUUCAUCAAUUCCAAACUUAUAUACAUUCUACAUCAUCUACUAUAUCUAAAUUUUAGAUUUCAAUCUCAAAACAGUUUCAAUCUCAAACAUCAAUCUCAAACAUCAAUCUCAAACAUCAAUCUCAAACAGUUUCUAUCUCAAACAGUUUCUAUCUCAAACAGUUUCUAUCUCAAACAGUUUCUAUCUCAAACAGUUUCUAUCUCAAACAGUUUCUAUCUCAAACAGUUUCUAUCUCAAACAGUUUCUAUCUCAAACAGUUUCUAUCUCAAACAGUUUCUAUCUCAAACAGUUUCUAUCUCAAACAGUUUCUAUCUCAAACAGUUUCUAUCUCAAACAGUUUCUAUCUCAAACAGUUUCUAUCUCAAACAGUUUCUAUCUCAAACAGUUUCUAUCUCAAACAGUUUCUAUCUCAGUUUCUAUCUCAAACAGUUUCUAUCUCAAACCGUUUAAACAAAUUAUUCACCUUAAAAUCAAUAUAAAAAAUUCACAAUCAACCAUUUGAAGAGACAAUCCUGAAAGCAAAAACAAUUGAAAUUGGUGACCACGUCACCUCCAAAUCCAGAAUCUUCUAACCUAUGGUUUCAUUGAAAAUAAUAAGACUAGCUUCCCUUACCUGAACUUUAGCUGAUGCUCACUAAGAGCUCCAAAUCUACCAAAUGCACCGUCCUACUCAAAAGUUGAGUUAGAUAUUAACCCGUACAAAAUCUAAGAUUAACCCGUACAAAAUCUAAUAAGAUCAAAAUUAACUCAAAAGAAAAAGGGGUCAAGAAGGAACUUAAAGAAAAUAUUUUGAUGGAUUCAAAACCAGGAGUCCAACGGCAGACUCUGAUCGCCAAACUAGGAAGUUAGAAUCUUAUAGAAAAGGGAGAAAAGGAAAAAGAGGAACAAAACUGAACUUACUCUGAUCAUCAAACUGAUGAGCGAGGAGAGUUAGAGAGAAGGGAGAGUAAGGAAAAACGAAACUUUUAGAGAGAUGGUGGUUAUUUUAAAAUGAAACAUGAAUAACUGAAUUUUCUAUUUAUAUAUCAUUUUCAUUUUAAUAAUAAAAUAUUCAGUAUCAUUUAAAAUAUACAACUUCUACUCUAAGAUUAUCAUCUAAAAUAUUUAUAUAUCUUUUAACGCUUGCGUUGUUUUAAAGUUAACAAUACACCGCUCACCCUUAAUUUUGUUUAAUUUUGAAAGCUUUGAAAUAAAAAGCUAAUUCUCAACCCUGUCACUCCUUUCUUAAAGGAGCCCUUUCUUUUUUAUUCAACGCUCGAAACUAUUGUUUACAAGAAUAAUAAUAAUAAUAAAAAAACAAUUUCUCCUUUAGUAGUUUUGAAUGGGCCAAACUAUACUCUUUUCAAGAUCUCUCCUGGGCUUUUUCUUUCUGAAACUCCUAAUUUCAAUUUACACCUCCAUAAAUUUAUACUACAAGAAAAUCAUAAAAUAGAAACCAAUUUUUAGAUAUCAAAAUAAUUAGUUGUAAUAGUAACUAAAUUAGAGACCAGUUUAGAAACUAAAAAAAAAUUGAUUUCUAAAUUAGUUUCUAUUAUUGUUAAAUAAUUUUUAAAUUGGUAUCUAAUUAACUACUAAGGUUUUAACUACCAAUUAUUUAGUUUCUAAAUUUGGUUACAAAAAUCUUGGUUGCUAAUUAGAUAUCAAUUUAGAAACCAUUUAACAAUAAUAGAAACUAAUUUAGAAAAAAUAUUUUUUUUUAAUUUUUAAAAUGGUUUCUAAUUUAGUUACUAUUACAGCUAAUUAUUUUGAUUUUUAAAAAUUGGUUUCUAUUUCAUGAUUUUUUUUAGUGUUAAAUAUUCUAAAUUUAUCUUUUUAAAAUUAAAUACUUUAUUUGAUUAGUUGGUGUUAGAAUGUUUGUUACGUUUAUGAAGGAUGUGGUGUGGUUCGUAGUGGUGCUUAGUGCAUUUGGUGAAUAUCUGAAUUUUUGCAUUUUGAGUUUCACUUUUUUAUAUCACACAAUCUGGACAACUUUUACAUUAUAAAUCUAUAAUAUUAAUUUUUUAUUUUAUUUUAUAAAUUAUAAUCUGAAAUUUAUAUUUAUAUAUUUUUAAUAUAUAUUUUAAAAUAUAAAAUUUGUGAUUUUUUUAAAUAUUUUGUUUUUAUUUUAUUCUUAAGUUGUGGAAUUGCAUCACAAUCACAUAUAUUUCAUUGGUUUGUACAAACAACUAUAGAAAACAACUUUAGAAGUGAGGGCUGAAUAUAGAGAUGAAAUUCUAAUAUUGAACCAAAAUAUACGAUGAAGUAGAAAAGUUGUUUGUGAUGAAUCAAUUGGAUAUAAUGAAGUUUGUGACAACUUAAAAUGAAUUGGUUGAAGGAAAUUGUGUUUGCUCUUUAACAACAAAUAAUAUAAUUAUAAUUUAAUUAAUUUAAGUAGAAACAUGUGAUAUAUGACAUUUUUUUUAUUAGCAAAGAAUAGAAUUAAAUUAAAAGGGACAUUUCAAACCCUUAUACAAGAACCAUUCACCACAUAUAGCUAUAACAGAUCGAGGCAACCAAACCAUAAAAAUAAAUACAACACUAAGAAACCAGACACGAAAGGGCUGCCAAUACAGCUACAAAAGUGCUUCUGAAUUAUGCCGCAGAAACAAGGAAACUUGUCCCAGCAACCUGUACCGCAUGAGCUACAUUAAACGCCAUCUGGAUGCUGCCCCAUGACUACAAUACCUCUGUUGCAGCCCCAAAAACAUCCUGCUGAAACCUGCUUCUAGUCCCUUGGCCCAUCUUGUUGGUACUUCAAUGUACACAUGACCCCCAAACUGCUUACAACCGGAUCACCUACAUUGCACAAAACUAGCAACCAACAACAUUCCAACCAAAUCUUCACUUGGAUUGCCUUAAUUACUAAAGCCAAGUAGAUUCCACCUUUUUCACUUACCAACAGCACCUUCCAGGUACACCAAUGGGAGCUCCAGAUAUAAAACCAACCACGUCACAAGAUCUAAAGCAGCAUGUCGGGUUUACCUUCUUAUUUGGACAACAGCAAAAAUGCGCCUUCCAAAGGACCAAUCACUUCAGCUGCUUGUCACAAAUAUGCAAUAUAACUUAGGUCCACCCUGCACCAGCAUAGUUGGCUGCAACGCAUCAAAACAACCCCUCAACAUUAGAUUGUUACACCGUGGUCAGAGAUUGAUCAUAGUCGUGACUCAUGCAUUUGAAAGAUUCAAAAGGAGAGUCCCUUCGCACUCAUUCACAUAAACUCUCAGCUUUGGCAUAAGCUUUCCUUCAUAAUAGGAUACUCCAUCCCAAUCUAUUCUAGUAGCUACAAUCACAUUACAUCAGGAAAAACUUCUAAAAUGCUACCCCACACCACAGCUCCUACUUCACUCACCUUUCAACACUUCCUACUGAUUUCCUCACCACUUCCUCCCUUAAUUUCAUCUGCUUCACUACAUAACCGUUAUGCUUCAAAUCUGGAUAUAGAAACAAGCUGUGUGAAUAUCAGUAUUCACAUUAACUGCUCAAAAGUUCUAAAAGACCCUGCUCUGUUUGAUUUCUGCAACAACUACACAACCACACCACUACAGAAUACUAUGCUCCUCCAUUAUGACCAUCAAUCAUUCCUCCAAAAGCUCCUUGGCUUCGAGUCCAUCAUCACUAGAGACCUCCCUUUUCAGAGUACACUUUGAAGGCAUUGGCUUGGGUUCAGAUGCCAAUUCGAAGAAGCAUACGAAAAGGAGCACACCCUGUGUUUCAACCAUAACCAAGUAAGGAGUUGAGCCAUUUGGAAAAUUUCUUCAGCGUCAGGUACCCCUAGCUUAAAGAUAACACUAUUCCUCUUCUCCAAGAUGCAUCGAACUAUUGCCACCCACAUACCUUUCAACACUUGAUUCGGCUUAAUAGACAUAUGAGCCAGAUAAAAGUUCUCAAAGUGACACCUCAAAUCCUUAUGUUGAACAAACAUAACACCUAUCCACCUGAAGCAUAAAGACCAAACUCGUUGUGCAAAAGAACACUCCCAGAACAAGUGUUGAGUAGUUUCUUCUGACUCUCUACAAAGCACACAAAUAGAAGAGUUUACUGCCACCCCUCUCCUAAGAAGAUUAACAGAAGUUGGGAUUUUGUCGAGUAAGAUUCUCCAUGCAGUUAUAAGGGCUUUAGGCAUUGCUUUAACCUGCCAAAGAGAACAAAAACCGCUAUCAUGUGCAUCAUUGUUUUGAUUAGCCAGACGUACAUAAGCUGACUUCACAGAGAAGUUCCCUGUGGUAUCCCCUCCCCAGACAAGAAUAUCCUUGGAUUCCUUGUUCAUGAUGCCUUUGUUAAUGUGCGUAAGCAACUCUUCCUCCAAAAACGGAUUCCCAAUCAAACCUAGCCCUCCUCCAAUUUAGCCUCCAUUGCCAUCCAUAAACCUCGCACGUACCUACCUCUCCCACCUUCAUUCCUUGAUCCAUAGAAAGAGAAUAAAGUCUAGGAUACAUAGACUUAAGAUUAUUGUUAUUAACCGAAGCGUCUUCCCAGAAUCUAACAUUGCCUCUAUCACCAACUUUCCACACAAUAGUCUUUUGGAACCAAUCAUCAUCUUCACCCUCUCCACAAGCUUUAGAAAGAUCUCUCCACCACCAAGACUGUCAUUUCGAACGGGCUUGGCUUCUUCCUAAUUCCGAACCAUACUUAGAAAAAAGAAUGUCUUUCCACUUCCCUUUUUCAUCCUUCAUCAGUCAUCAUUUCCAUUUUUGUCAGCAAAGCAUUAUUAAAGUUUAUGAAAUCUUUAAUCCCCAACCCUCCUUUCUCAAGGGGUUUACACACAUUCUCCCAUCUUACCCAUGAUAUAGACCAGUUAUCUCUGCCCCAAGCCCAAAGGAACUUCCUUUGUAUACUGAUUAUUCUGUUACAAACCGACAUCGGUGCUUUAAAGAAGGACAAGUAAAAGAGAGGAAUGGCGGUAAACACCGAUUUAAGUAAGUAGACUCUUCCUGCCAUAGAUAAAAAUCUCCCCUUCCAGAUACUAAGUCUAGCAUUGAUUUUGUUUAUGACUGGCUCCCAAAACUAUUUCUUCCUUGGGUUACCUCCUACUUCUAAUCCCAGAUAUUUAAAAGGGAUCGUCAUGGUCAUGCAGUUCAGAGUUUUUGCAUAGGUAUUGAGGGAGAAGCUAUCAACACCAAUGCCUGCCAACUUUGAUUUGUGGAAGUUGAUUUUUAGACCUGAGGCAAGUUCAUAACACCUUAGCAUCGCCUUUAUAGUGAAGACAUUAAAGAAUGAGUCUUCGCACAUAAACAAAGUGUCAGCAGCGAAUUGUAACAAACAACACUCAAUUUCAUUCCUCCCCACCUUCUCACCUUUGAGCAAAUUCAGUUUUGACACUUGUCUCACUAACCCGGCCAAGCCUUCAGCUACCACGAGGAAGGGAAACAGAGCUAAAGGAUCUCCCUGUCUUAACCCCCUAGAGGGUUUAAAUUCCUCCGUAGGGCUACCAUUAACCAGAACAAACACAAACAACGACUCCAAGCAUCCUCUGACCCACGCAAUCCAUUUAGAAUGGAAUCCCAACCUUUGUAACAUAUCAAAGAGGAAUUUCCACUUAACCGAGUCGUACGCCUUUUCGUAGUCCACCUUCAAACAAAUCCCACUCCUCCGUUUUCUAGUUACCUCCUCAACCACCUCAUUUGCCAGAAGGACACUAUCUAACCUUCCACGAUCCUUCAAAAAAGCUAACUGACUCUCAUCAAUGACCAGAGAGAGGACAUCCUUCAUACGAAACGAUAACACCUUAGCUAUGAUCUUAUAGAUGGAUCCUACAAGGGAAAUUGGUCUGAACUGGUCAAGCGUAGUAGGGUCCCUGACUUUAGGUACAAGUGCGAUGAAAGAGGCGUUACACCCCUUUGGAAUGCACCCCGUUUCCUAAAAGAAGUGCAUCGCUUCCACAAUGUCAGACUUAAAAGUUUCCCAACUAUUCUUGAUGAAAUUGAAAUUGAACCCAUUCGGGCCCGAACUCUUUGAACCUUCACAUUGCCAAACAACUUCCUUCACCUCUUCCUCUGUGAAGCUGGACACUAUUCUUAAACUAACCUCCGCGGGAAGGGUUUUGAACUCCACAAUACCAAGAUUAACCCCACAAUCAUGUGUAACCAAGAAUCUUUGAUUAAAUGUACUCUUAGCUUCCCUACAAAUAACUUUCAGCUCUUCACACCAUUGAUGAUCAAUCUCUACACCUUUGACCUCAUUUUUAAGUCUUCUCCACUUGACUCCAUUGUGAAAGAAUUUAGAAUUUGUAUCUCCCAACUUAAACCAGUUUGCUCUAGAUUUUUGUCUACAAAGAGAUUCCACCUGCUUAUCAAUCAGCCUCAACUGACUAAACAACUCCAUUCUUCUCAACUGACCGUGCUCCUCAAGAAUAUUGUUGUCAUCGUUAACAUCGAGAUCUUCAAUAUGCCUCAAAAUUUGCUUCUUCUUGGACUCUAGACACUCAAACACAUUUUUGUUCCAUUCUUUAAGGUCGGCCUUUAGAAGCUUCAAUUUAUCUUUGAGUUUAGAUAUGCUAUUCCCCUGCACAUUAUAAGAACACCAUUUCUCCUUCACAAAGUCCUUGAAACUAGGCUCCAUAAACCAUGCGUCAAUGGUUCUAAAAGGUUUAGACCCCCAAUCUUUGACCGAAAAUUUCACCACUAUAGCGCAAUGGUCGGAUACCACUCUCGGUUGUACAUAUUGCUUGCAAGACGGCCAAAUUUGAAGCCACUCUUAGGAAACAAGAAACCUAUCUAAUCUGCUUUUACCUGUACCAUUUGACUUGAACCAAGUAUAUUUUUGACCUACUACGGACACGUCCACCAAGUAAUUGCUUUCAAUAAAAUCAUUAAAGCCACUAAUCUCCUUUUUUUUGACUAGAAUUGCCUCUAACUCCUUUCCUUUCAUCUUCUCUUCUAACUGCAUUAAAAUCCCCACAAAAGCACCAUGCCACACUUUGAUGCAUACUCUUAAAAGACGUCAAAGUUUCCCACUGAGCAACCGUAUCACUUAAAUUGCAUGCUGCAUAAACGUUUAUCACAACACACAAGCUAUUAGAUUUAAGGUGUUGGCCCAGAAUAACAAUAAAGCCACUUCCUACAACAUGUUUAUCAUACCGAAAUGCUUCUUUGUGCCACAUGGAUAAGAUGCUCCCUGCCCCAUUCACUCCUUCAUUAUGUAUCCACCCAACAUUACUAUCUCUCCAUAGCGAAAAACAUUUAUUGUCUGAUAAAGUAGAUGCUUUUGUCUCUUGCAAACAUAAGAAUUCCGUACCCUCCUUAGCAAUAAAGUGUUUCAAAUAGCGAGCUUUAGAAACCCCCCAGACCUCUAAUAUUCAUAUUGAUAAUAAUCAUAACACACCGGCAUCCUCCUCAGACGACAUCAUUACUUCGUUAUCUCUAACCUCCAUACAAUCCAUUUCUCUAAUCACUGCCUCCUCAUUACCUGAACAUUUCAUCCCCAGAUGUUUACCCGUUCCCCACAACUUGACAGAUUCAGUAUCAUUCCAUUCGACCCUCAGACGGUUAUUACAAUUGAUAAUAUCACUAUCAGUUCCGGCUUUAGAGCAGAGGCUUAACCUGGAUGAGGAUCUGAUCCCAUAUUGAAGGGUUCCUUGGCCUCCCUUGGACAUCCUUCGUGGUUGUGCAGAGGUCGCACCCAAUUCCCAGAGAGCGCGUAUCCUCUGGACUCUCUCUGGUGACUUGAACCCUUCCUUCGCACCUGCAUCUUCCUCCCAGUGCCAUCGGUCCUCCUUUCUAACACUAAAUUAUCCUCGAUUCCCUCUUCGCAGAGACUUUGAUUAUGGUUAUUAAGAAGGUCCUUGUCGCUGCAUUCCGAGGAGCUUCCGUCAUUGCCGCACCGCUUAACAAAAGGAGUUUCUUCUGUUUUAGUCAGUGUAUUCGCCUUUCCUUUCGUCGGUAGGGGUGCCCCAUAUAACAACUCACCUGAACGAUUCUCCAUCUCACCUUCGACGUCACCGGAGUAGACAGGCGAAGCCUUCGGACUUCCUGUCACUCCUAACAUGUCCCCUGAAUGACCCUCUGCCUCUCUACCCCCACCUCCCGUAUUCACAGGGCCCAAUAACAAAGUUUUUUGAUUUUGGGCUUCAACGACAAAAAGAUGGCCCACACAUGUUUCAGGCCAAGUAACCUUUGCACAAGAUAAUUGUACCUCAGCUAAGUUAGCCAAAGAAUUUUGAAUAAUCAUGCAAGCUGCGUUGACCUGUUGUGCCACUGAUAAAGCUGCCCCUACAUCAGAACCUACCUUCUCACGCAUUGCCUUAUUUGAGUAGGAGGAUCUGUCUUUUUGCUGACACACCAAAUCAUUCUGACAACACUCUUCCAAGAGCUUCUUUUUUUGUCUCUAGCGGAGCACAAACUUUGUCUCCUUCCUUGGUCGCCUCCGGUUGCCGUAAAACACCACCGUCAUCACCGUUCUCAUCCCCAUCAUCACUAGAUCUUGACGAGAAAAUCGUUUCCUCAACAAAGGAUUCCAUUGAAGAAACGCUAUCUGAGGAGUCGUAGUGAUUCACGGGGCAAUUACACACUCCUACCCCUUGCAAGGGUUCCUCCUCAACUAGAGAAAUAUUAAAAGCUUUUCCAUUAAUCUGAAAGGCCUUUACCACCCCUUCUUUACAGGACAACGACAUACGAACCUGGAAACGAGCAAAUUCUAGGUUCUCCCAUGAUAAUGUAGCCUCAUCUAUGGUUACCACAGACGCUGCUUCUCCAACCACCUUUGUAAGGCAUUCCUUGGUCCACAAAGAUAUGGGUAGACCAUAACAUCUGACCCAUACCAAUCUGUGGUUCGCUACACAUGCUUCAGACCAUGGUUCUACGUCCUUGAACACACUUACAAACCAGUCUUUGUUUAGCUUAAUAAUGUCUUCCAUAUGAUCCCCUUCCUUAGGUGUUAGGAGUACCAUGUUAUCUCCCAUAAAUCUAACUUUAACCAUACUCAUCCCCCUUUGAUAAGUUCUUCACAUAGUAAAUCAAAGUUCAUGUCUUCGGACAUCCAUCCAACUGCACUGUUAGCCAUCCAAGGAAGAACUUGUGACUUAGUUUCAAAGACAAGACCUUUCCACUUCUCUUGUGAGGUAUUUCUAACUACAUAAGCAUAAGAGUGACUCACGUUAUGUGCCCUUUUGACAUCCUUUCCUUUUUUUUUUUCUCUCCAUACCUCCUUACUUUUUGGCUUCACAGGUUCAUGAGUGAAAUGAUUUUUGGCCUGUAUGGGUAAAUCAGACUCACCACCUAAUUGUGCAGAUACAACUCUCUUGUAUUUAGGUAUGUUCACAUAUAACUUCAUGUUGCCAAUGUAGAUUUGAUCCAACUGCUUCUCUAGACAAAACACAUUUUCCACAUCAAAUAACCUCACAAAACCAAAUCUUCUUCCCCAUCUAUUAAGACGUUUUGAGAUGAAUACCUCUUUCACCCUAGCCCAUUUCUGAAAGAUCUUUAGCAUGUCAUAUUCGCCAAAGCCACCUGGAAAAUUUGAAAAGAAGAACGUAAAGUAAUUAUUCACCGAAAAAAAAUUUCUAUGCUCCUCAGUUUUCCGUCGGUGGCCUUCUCUCUCCCUCCUCCAACGUUCCUCCCUAGUCCUCCGCCAGCGCUCCUCCUUCAUGACCGUGUUUUAAUCAGUCACAUUUUAUAUGAAUAUCCAUUGAAAUGAUUCAACAAGUACAAGACAUAUGACAUAUACUUAUGUUAUAAUGUAUUUAUUUAGAUAUUUGGUAUGCAGGAUGACUUUAAUGGGUACAUAAGGUGACUGUUAAACUUUCCAUUUGUAACUGUCAUUUUGAGGUUCGACAAAGAGCAAAUGGGUCAAGGAAGAAAUACAUGUUUAUUGGAAAGUACUGUAACUUGUACAAAAUAAUGUGAUUUUACUUUUAAAUUAUUUUAAAUUAUAGAAUAAAUCAUUUUGCAAUGGAGAAGUUUGAGGGUUGAAGGUAAUAUGUGUGAUUUAUAAUCAUGAAUUUUUUUUAUGAAAACAAAAUUUGUAGAUAUUUUAUCUACGGACAUACAUCCUUAAAUAAUAUUAAUAAUAAAAUAUUACCCACCGAUAUAGAUCUGUAUGUAAAUUACUUAUAUCUUUAUAUUUGUAGAUAAAUUUAUCUAAAUAUUUAUAUAUGUAGAUAUCACUUACUAUUAUAUCUGUAUAUAGUAUUAAUAAUAUUAAUAUUAAUUAUGAUAAUAAUAAUAUUAUAAUUAUUAAUAUUAUUAUGAAUACUAUUUCUAUUAUUAUUAUUUAUUAUUAUAAAUAAUAUUAAUAAAAAUAAAAAAUAAAAAAUAAAACAAAAAUAUUUUAUCAUUAUUAUUAUUAUUUUUAAUAAUUUUUUUGAUAAUAAUAAUAAUAUUAUUAUUACUAUUAUUUUAUUAUUAUUAUAUAUUUUAUUUUGCAGGCCAGCAAACCAACCUGUCCCGCCCCGCUGUUGGCCUUCGCGAGUUGCGGUUAUGCGGGAUGAGUCUAAGCGGGUCAGCGAGCUAGAUUAGUGAACCCGCCCUACCCUUUUUAGUAGCGGGCCGCAGGUCGGUCCUCAUGGUCCACUCUACAUUGCCACCUCUAGCUUGUACCCAUAUUGGCAUAAAAUACGCUCUAACAAAUGGCAAUGUAUACACGUACCUAGAUGAGCAUAUCAAAAGAACAUGAAUAUCAACUCGAAUGAACUACUAAGAUGAUGGUCAUCGUAAGGAUUCCAAAUUAUCCUUGCAUGGGUCAGACCAUCCAACUGCAUAUACAUAAUGCUAACAUUGUGUAGUAAGCGGAUUGGGGAGGCCUUCGUUUACCAUUGGGACGCGUGUUCUCACUUUAAUCAGUUUUACCUUGAUUGAACUUCUCAGAAGACUAAGAAAUAUUGAAGGUGUUUGUGGAUUGCUAUGAUUGGGGAAAUUUAGAAACAAAGGAACCUCGUUAUCUUUAAGAAUGGUAGAGUGGAUUGUCUGGAGAUCUUCACCUUGGCCCAACUCAAGGUGUGGUCUUGGCUCACGAGUAGAGUAAACAAUGUUUCAUUUACGUAUGCUUAAUGGUGUCUGGACCCUUUGUUCUAUUUGAAGUCAAUUAAAAAGUAAAUGUGGAGUUGGGGUCUUUGUGAGUUUUGGUAUGUGUUGCAGGUUUGUCAGGUGGUUCCGGGGUUUUGAAGCUUAUUGAUUUAUUUCUUCUUAUUGUUUUACUUUUCCCCUUUUGGAUGGAAGAACUUGAUAGGAUCUUGGUAGGUUUUUUGGUUGGAGCUCUUGACCUACUAGGGUAAUGAGCCUUUAAAAUGGACGUUGUCGGGCAGUGCUAGUGGGGGGAAUCUUGUGGGGGCCGGUAGGUUAGCUUAGUUAACUUUGAUAUAUCUUGUUUUUAUGGUUUGGGUUCUACUAACGUUGGUCUUUGGCCAACAAAGGGGUUUAUUCUUGGUUGUAGGUUGUAAGUUGGAAUCUGGUGUUUUAUAGGUAAGCUUAGUUUUUUGCUUUAUCUCUGGUGGUGUGUUUUGAUCAGGGUUUAUGGAAAUCGGACAUAUCGGCAUGAAGGUAAAGGUACUCUAGGCUUUGAAGAAGAGUGGUUCUUUUAGCAUGAUGUUGUGAGUUUGGCUGUGGGUAAGGGAUUUGAGUUGUAUUAGUUUUUUGAUUUGUAACUAUGUUUGUAGAAUUUUGGUUGUAGUAGGAUUUGUUUUGUGUGUAUUGUUUGGACUAAAGACUGGUUGUAUGAACCUGGAUAGGGGAGUAAGGGCUAACUUGCGUGGUUUGCCACUCCUUUCUUUUGAGGUUGGGUUUGGAGGUCUGUAGAGCCUGAAUGGUCAGGUUUUGUGCAUGUUGGAUUUGGCUAUAUAAUGUAUAAGGGUUGAGACACCUGUGAAGUAUCUCCUUUUAUUAUAUUUAUUUUUUUGCUGAGAAAAAAUAAACAUUGUGUAUAUAUCGCCUAGUGACAUAUUUUCUUGUUCAUGAGUCAACCCCUAAUAAAGUGAGAUUCAUAUAUUUCACUCCUAUCCUUAAAAAGUGCUCGUGUAUCAAUGCCUAUUACAAUUUCAACAAAAAAAAAUUGUUCAUAUAUUCAUAUGAAAAUAAAUCUACCUUAUACAAAUUAUAUAUAUUAUCUACCUGUAAAAUCGUAAUAUAACUGUCCAAUUAUUUUUUUUUGAACAAACACAUAUUCCUUAACUAGUCCUACAUCUGAGUCACAUGUAUUAUUUCCUCAAGUCUUUAUACAUUUAUUAUACUAAUAAAAAAUGAAUUUACUCAAUUUACCUAUUUAUAACAAUAGAAUAAAAAAAUUUACAUAUUUUUACCAAAUAUUAACUAUAAUUAGAAAAUAAUAUUAUUAAAAUAAUAAAUAAAAAUUAAAGUGUUAAUAUAAUUAAGUAAUAAUAAAUAAAUUAAGUAGUCAAACUGUGGAUACAUUGAAAAAUGUUAUAAUAUUAAAAAACUGAAAAUGUCAAUCUAUAUAAUUAAAAAUAAUAAAUAAUUAAUAAAAAUGAUAAAAAAUUAUUAUUAAUGGUUUACAAGUAAAACCACCCACCAUAUUCAUUAAUUUAACUUGCAACUGCAUACCAUGUUUAAAAAAUCUACAUCAUUGAUUAGAUACAGAGCAAACUAACAGUGUCGAUUACUACCAUCGCUAACUCGUUUUGAGAAUCUAUACUGCGGAACGGAUUUAUUUUUUGCAAUAGGGUCCAAGAUCCCAACCUUCUUUUACCAGUCAAUAAUAUUUGUUUUAGGCAGAAAAUUAUUUUAUAAUUGAAAUUUGUUCUUAAUUAGAAGUAUUUUGCUAUGCUACCUUUUUUUGUGUAAUGUUAUUUAUAUAUUGUGUAUCAUCGUUUAUUAAUCAGUGAAAAUCAUUCAAAUUUAUUUUAUAUAUUACUUUUCAAAAUUUCUAGAGUAAUAAUUAACAAAGACUUAUUAAUUGACAUUAAAAAUCAGUUAUUUAAAACCACGAACACUUUUCACUUUCUAAAAUUAAUAUAUCUAAGAUAGUUUUUAUUUAAAGAAUUUGACGGUGACAAUAAUGAUACUUGAAUGUUAUUUAAUCGUGUUAUUUUAUAACAUAUUUUAUUUAAUAUAGUAUUAUUCAAAAGAUAAUUAUAUCAUAUAUUUUUAAUAAAUAUUAUAUUUAUCCCAUUUGAUAACAUAUAUAGUUCAUUAUAUUUUCUUCUUUCUUAACAAAAUAAUUAAGCAUAAAGUAUUUUCUCUUUUCAAAAGUAUCUUUUUAUAAUACAUAUUAUGAUUGUUUUGAAUAUAUAACUUUUUCUUUUUUUUAAUAAAAAUACUAUUAUUUAUAAAAUUUAAGAAAAAUUAAGAAUUUUGGGGUUGCCAUGACAUCUUUCCUAUCGAAGAGACUCUUUUACUAGCUGCCUUCCCUAGUUGUCAUUUGUUAUAACUAAUCAUAUUUUUCUUUACUAUUACGAAUAAUUUAACUCUUUUUUCUGGGUACUUUAGGGGUAUCAAAGUGAAGAAAUGAAUAUCUUUGCCAAAAUGGGCUUGCAUAUUUAGAUAUAAUAUUAUAUUGUCAAGUAUAUUUGUGCAUAUAUGUUAUAAAAUCCUACUGUCAAAAUUUGAUACCUGGGCCAACUCCAAUGCAUUACUUGUUACUUUUUGUUUUUGUAAAAGGGAAAAACAUGCUUACAUCAAUUCACGUGCAAAUGGACAAGCAAAUAGAUAACUUUGAUAUGCAAGUCAGAGCCUUUUGUUCAUGAAUGAUUGAGUUAAUCACAAUGGGGACAGACAAAACUAUUCCUAUAUACUUUCAAUAAUUCACUGCAUAUCAUAAAAUAAUAGAUUGCAAGCUCGUUUUUUCCUUUCAAAACCAACACUUUUAAUAAUUAAAAUGUUAACAAAAAUAUUUUUUUUUUCUAAAUCAAAUGAACAAACUUAAUCAGCUUAUACCGAAAAACUAAAUAGAACAUAUACAGAUAUUGCAUGGAACUGAUUUUAGAGGCAGUGUCAUUGUAGCAGCUGCCUCAGCCACUGCCUAGAGCAUUGCUGCACCAGUGUUGAUACUGCCCUUCAUAUACUGCACUUUUUUUUAUGGCAUUCUACGGCUCUGGUAAGGAUCAGAGACCACAACAUUCAUCAAGUAGCUUUACAACUUUCAUCUUCUCAAAUUUUCCAGAUAAUUAUGGGGAAUACGAUAGGAUCAAGAUCUUCCGGUGAUGGACUAGGGUAAAGGAAGUGUUCAACAGGUGGGGGGAGAAGAUUUGGGUUUUUGAGGCUCUUUGAUGUGGAAAACACAAGUACGCUGGAGAGGGAGCUGGACCAAGUUCGCGUAGGCAAUAUGAAACUCUAUGUCAAUAUUCCGCGUUAUAGAAGAGCAGAGUUGGAGCAACCGGUGAGUCACACAAAAUCUGCGGUGGAACAACCAUACCGUAAGUUCAAUGAAGCUAGGAAACGCUACAAACAAGAACCAAGGGAGAAAAACAACAAAGAGGUAUGAAGGGUUAAGAAAGGGAAGGAGAAGAAUGAAUGGAGAGUGAUCAAAGAAAAGCAAUCCUACGCGGGUGCAGUGAAAAAAUCUUCAAAAGGAGUAUGGAAGGUUCCUAUUAUUGAAACCAAGCAACAAGUCCUACCUUGGAUGUCUAAUAGUGCAAUGAGGCAUAUAUUAACAAAUUUAAGCUAUAAUCAGUUGUGUGAAGAAUUCAUCAUGGGGGGAUGAAUAUGGUUAAAGUGAGGUACUUGGGUGAUAAUCUGACUGUGUUAACUCCUAGAGAAGGGGAACAGAUGGAAGAUCUUAUCAUGUUUAACAAAGAAUGGUUUGAAAAUGUUUUUGAGGUUAUUGAGCCAUGGUGAGAUUCACACGUAGCAGGCCAUAAAAUUGUUUGGGUUAGAUGCUAUGGGCUCCCUAUAUCUCUGUGGAACAAAUAUUACUUCUCUAAAGUGGUAGGUGAGGUAGUUUCCUUAGUGUUUAUUGAUAAGGCAACAAAAUCAUGGGAUAACCUUGAGUAUGCAAGACUCCAACUGCGUCUCCUUAAGUCGUGCUCUAUCAGCUUAGCUAAGGGGAUGAAGAUCAAUGGCCAUGUAUAUAACAUUUGCAUUGAAGAGGAGCACCCUAAUUUUGUUGAAGGUAAAUGUAAGUGCACGUUUAAUCACUAUGCUUCAUUAGGUAGUAUAACGUUAUCAGAGUCCUUUGUGGAGGAAACCUAGUUUUCGGAAAAGAAUGUUGAUGAAGAUGUCAGGAAAGGGGGAGGGGAGUUGCGGUGGCCAGAGGACUCGAUGAGAGGUGGGAAUGUCAACAUCCCGCAUAAGACAAACUUGUUGUAUGUUGAGGAAUUGUGUGUGCAUGAUAAAAAUGGGCAGGAGAAAGGUGGUAGUUCUUACACAAAUAAGGUAAAGGGGAAGCAGACAAAAUGUGUAGGGGACUCAACUUUAUGUGUCCUAUAUGGUCAAUGUUGCAUGCAAAAGCAACUUUGUCCAAGUAGCCUUGACCAAUCUUCUUGUAGUUGUGGAGGCCUUUAACAGUAGCAAGUCCAAUAAGAAUGUGGCCCAAAGGCUGCGUAGAGGCCUAUUCGGGGAGAGGUGUAGAGGCCCAAUUUUGGGACGACGACCCAUGUUAUGUAGAGGGUGGGCACGUAGAAUCAAUGGUUGGUCUAGUACGUGAGGAGGGCGUAUGGGCCAUUGGGAGCGAAACCGUGACAACCACUUUGAACGACAGUGAGAAAGGGAGUUCGUUCGUGGAAGCUAGCGACGAUAGUGAGAAUGGAGAAAAUCUGUUCAUGGAAAACAGUAGUGCUAUAGAGAGGGGAGAAAAUAUGUUUGUGGAAACCAGUAGCGCUAUCGAGAAUGGAGAAACACAUUACACACCCAUCAAUAGUAGCGCGUGCUCCGCCCAGGUGGGCAACUCGCACAUAGAGGAAGGUCCCCGAACCAGUCUCAUUAACAAAGGCAUCAGGGACGAAGUAGGUAUUCAGAUUCAGAGCAUUGAUGACCACGAAAAACAAUCCUUAGUGUUCGAUGAUGAAGAAGAUGAUAAGGGGGAUAAUUUUGUUACCCCGCCACGACACCGACGUCAGAAGGGUUGUGGGAGUUGGGAGAAUCAAGCAGGAUGCCUCGGGGGAAGUCUAGAAUUGGAGCGGGAAGUCUUUAUGUAGGGAUUUUCUCAGAUUCAAGGGUUAGUACAAAUUCUAACACCUUAUCUGGCGACAAUAUUGUUAAUUGUAACAGUAGAUUUCAGAUUUUUGGAAAUAUUGAUGAACCUAUAUAUCAAUUUUUGGGAGGUAGGAAAACAGUUAGGGGUCUCAUGUUGUGGGUAUGAGGAUGAUGUGGUCAAGGAAAUAGAAAGAAGGGAAGCAAGAGAUUUGGAGGUUAUGAAAAAGUACGAGGAGAGAAAUAAGGGGAGUUUCUUAUGAUUAUUGUGAAUCUGAAUAUAAGAGGUCUUGGGGAGGGAGGGUACUAAGGCUAAAUAUAUGAAAAAUAUUAUAGCCAACGAGAGUGCGAAUGUGUUGUGCUUACAAGAAACAAAAACAGUUGCGUUCUCAGAAGCUAGGUGUUUUUUGCUAUUGAGGAUAAUAAUGUGGGAUGGUUACAUAAUGAAGGUAUAAGUGGUGAUGGGAGUUUGCUAAUUACGUGGCAUAAAGAAGCGUUUCGUUGUGAUAGUCAUGUGGAGGUAGGGGCUUCAUUUAUAUUUUUGGUAAGCAUAUCAUAUCUAAAAUAAAAUGUGUGGGGAUCAAUGUGUAUGCAACGUGCAAUCUGAAUGACAAAGUGACCUUAUGGGAGGAAUUGACAACCAUUAAAAAUGCAAAUAAGAACUUGGCAUGGUGUCUUUGUGGCGAUUUUAAUGCUGUAAGAUGUGAAAAUGAAAGGAAAGCUAAAAGUGAAAGGGGCAACCAAAACAAUGAGAUCACUGGCUUUAACCAUUUUAUCGAAAGGAAUUUCCUGGUGGAAUUGCCAAUUGUGGGUAAGAAGUAUACUUGGUACAAGGAAAAUGGUACAACAAAAAGCAGACUAGAUAAAGUGCUUUUGUCUGACGUUUGGUUACGGAAAUGGCCAAUGGACAAACAAUAUGUACAACCAAGAGAGGUGUUAGAUCACUGUGCCAUAGUGGUGAAAUGUUUGGCCAAAGAUUAGGGUCCUAGACCCUUCAGGACUAUUGAUUCUUAGCAGAUGGAGUAUGGAUUCAAGGAUAUGGUGAGAGAUAAGUGGAAUUCUUACUUUGUUCAAGGCUAAAGCAUAACGAAAUUCAAAGAUACAAGCUAAAAAGUAUUAAGGCAGACCUCAAAGAGUGGAAUAGAGAUGUGUUUGAGCAUCUGGACAUAGAGAAGAACAGAAUUAUGAAGGAAAUUGAGGUUUUAGAUAUCCAAGAUGACGUCUUCGACCUCGAAGGCCACGCAAGGUUGAAGAGAAUGGACCUUACAGGUCAAUUGAGAGUGAUCAAUAAAAAGAUGAAGUCUCUCUUUAGGCAGAAAGCUAGAACUAACUGGUUUGUGCAUGGAGACUCUAAUUCUAAAUUCUACCACUCCGUAAUUAGAUGGAGAAGACUUAGAAAUGAGGUAAAAGGUGUCCUUGUGGGGAUCAAUGGUGUGAGCAACCUGAGGUUGUUCGAAGGGAAGCAAAAACUAUGUUUGAGGAUAGAUUUGUGGCUACACAUGAUUUUGGGGUUUAGGGUUUAACAAAGACAAUCAAGAAAAAGGCACACAAAAAGAAUCUAAGAUACUUACUAAACUUUUAACAAUGAAACUUUCUUUAGAAAUUGUUAAAGCAAAAGGAUAAAAAUUCCACAAUGUUAAAAUCAAUUUGUCAAUCAAAAUGGACCCACUAUUUUGAAAUGUUGCUAUUUUGAAAAGGUUGGAACCAAUAGACUUGCACAACUUCUCUUAUUUUUUUUUUAUACUAUUAUGGAAAUGAAAUGUCCAUAGUUUUGAUCAUGCAUAUUUUCAUAGACCUCCAAAUAUCACAAAAAGUUUGGGAUUCAAAUUAAUUGAUGACUUGAAAUCUUUUGUUUGGAACUUAAAUCUACUUCUACUAAAACAAACUUCCAAUUACUUUUAAACUUUCACAAUUAAAAGCAAAGUAAGUAGAAUCAAAAUAUAAGGACUCUUAGAACACUAAAGAACAUAUGACUCAAGACAAAAGAGGCAAGAACAAUAAAAGACAUAAAGGAACAUUCAAAAUGAGAACAAAGCCAUUGAAUAACAAUAAUGCCAAAUUGAAAAAAAGGAAAGUAAAGGACUGAAAUUAUAUGUGCUUGAAUGUAAAGACAAGAAAUUAAAGGUGUUUGAAUGUAAAGAUAAGAAAUUAAAGGUGUAAGAAAAGUAAAGUGCCAAAUCAAUUCAAAGCAAAAUAAGCUCAAGAACCUAAGCUCUGAUAACCACAUGAUGUGAGUUGAUUUUUAGAUGGUUCCAUUUUAUGGUGACACUUUUGCUUAAAGUUGGGAUUUUAGCAAUUUAUGGUGAAACCUAAGGAAGAUUCCCACUGAACACGAACUUAACCAAAUAGUUAAGUAAGUGUGAAGGUUCACUUCACAAAGGCAAAGAUGAAAAAUCAAUAUAAAAUGAUGCAAUGUGGAAUGGAAAUGGCAAUAAGGUAAGUAUCAAUGGUGGUCAUGGCCGAACCAAAUGAUGAACCAUUAGCAUAUAACAAAAGCAAAACAAAGUGUAAGAGUCCAAGAUAAAGACAUAUAUGAAAUGGAAAUGAAUUGAAAAGAGUGGAAGAAGAGUAGCUUAUGGAGUGAAUGCGAGAGUGGUUCACGUCACUUGGGGUGUGGUAGCCACCAAGAUGAGUGAAGAGCCGCCACUUGAGAGUCUCACACUACUAAAGAUAAGACCUAAUGCUAAGAGGAAACAGGCUUCAGUAACACCUCACACAAAUUGUGCAGAGUAACUUUUCUAUUUAAAUUCAACAUUAAAAAACAAGGAGUAAGGCACCCUAUUUAUAGGAAUGGGUGCAUUGGUGGACAAGAAGGGCAAGGGUAGGGUGGUAAAUGUGUGAGGGGGUUGCCUUUAGGGUUUGACUAAUUCAAAACUGCACCCUAGUCUUGUUCUUCUAGAAACUAGGUCAAAUUUCCUUCCUAAAACACUAGAAACAAGCUAAAAUGAUAACUACACCCCCUAUUAUGCUAUAGGCACCUAUUCUAGCCUAUCUUGCUAUUUUGGACCCCAAAAUGAGCCCAAAUUACUUACAUAACUUUUCUCUUGUGGAAAGGCCAAAAGGAAGAACUUCUGAUAUUCUGGUUUAUAGCUUGUUCUUCUUCUGCUGAUGCUUUCUCGAGGUUUGGUGGACCCGACUUUGUAUACUGAGAUGAUUGACCUUUUUGUGAAUUGUUUGUUGUGUCCUUAGUCCUCUACUGAUUGUUGUGGUUUGUAUCACUAGACAAUGGUGGUUCAUUGUCCAACACUUUUUUUUAAUCAACAAUAAAAAUUUAAUAAAUAGGAGUACUCAGGGUACUCCAACCCAUGUACAAAAAUCCCCUAUGCUAGAGAAAUGAGGUUUCCAGAUAAAAAUGACCAAAACAUAGCCAUAUUCUACCCAUAUAAUUCUAAUAAGCUUAAACAUCUUUAAAAACAUCUAGAUAUCAAUACAUAAAUCAAGCUAUCUAUAAAAAAAUCCAGCAAUCCAAUUCCAGAAUAUAAGCAUGUCAACUCUAAAGAAAGACUUUGCCUCCUUGCUAUCUACUGCAGUUUCCCAAGCACCCAUUAUGACUAUAGUUGUAGCCCAAGGAAAUUCCUCUCAUGCAAACCGAGAAUCCAGCAAAAAAAGUAGAGAAAAUGUGUUAAUCAUCAAUGUAGUGAUUUUAAACUUUCAUAUACAUUAAUACACCAAUCAGAAUAAGAGAAAUUUGACUUUGGAAAUUUAUAACUUACCCAUGCCCACGCUUUUACUUGGACCAAAGCAAUUUUUUUAACAGGAUCCACCAUUGCAUUAUUGAAAAUUAUCCUAUUCCUAUGGUUCCAAAUUCCUCAAAUAAUGGAAAUCCACAUACAUUUCCAGACACAAUUUCCCAAGUAGUUUAAACCUGUAAAACCUAUUUGUUUGUUGAGUAACAUUAUCACAAUGUACAAAAGUUCUACCAGCCCAAGCAUCAGAGAUAUACCACACUUUAGAAGUCACUUUAUAUGUGAAAAAAAGAUGAUUUACUGUUUCAAGCUCAGACCACACAUGGCACACAUCCCCUCUCCAACCUUAAUUCCUCUAUGUAUUAAAUUAUCAUAUGUUGCAAUUUUACCAAUUAAAACACGUCAGGCAAAGUAAUGUGCUUAUGGAAGAGCUUUUAGGCUAAAAAAAGAAUCAAAAUUGAAUGCAGAGAAUGAAUGUGGCUGCAAAAUAUUUUGGUGGCAAAGAAUUUUAUAAGCUGAGUUAACAAUAAAAGAAUUUGAGGUAUCACCUACCCACAUCCACUCAUCAUUUUUACAAGCAUAUAUUUUAAUAGUCUUCAAUUCAUCCAUAAAUUCAUUUAUAAUUUCAGUUUCCCAUUAAAACUACUAUUUUCUCCAUUCUAUUUGCCAUACCCAUUGGUUUUCAUGUCAUACCCUACAGAACCUUCUUUAAGCACUGAGUUUUAAAAAAUUAUGGGAUUUCUAUUUUUCAGAGUAUCAUUUCCUAUCCAAUAAUCUGUCCAAAACAGAAUAUUACUCCCUGCACCGACCUUCCACCUUCUCUGGUUAUCAAACUAACAAUUUGAGUUUCCUCCACACACCUUCUUGAUAUCUCUCCACCACCAAGAUUUAGUAUUUGACACAACACUAUCAUCCAACCCUCUCCAAGAACCAUAUUAAGAUUACGGGUGGCAAAGCGGCCCGCCCGCCCCGCAUAGGCCCGCGGGCUGGCUUGCAUUUUUGUUUUGAAACAUGGAGGAGAAGUGGAGGCAGCAACGGUGCGGUAGCAGUGAUGUGCGGCAACAACAGUGUGCAGUAGCGCGACAGUUGCAGGCGAAGCCGCACGGAGUUGCAAGUGGAGCGAGCGAAGUCGCAGGUGGAGCGAGCGACGACACUGCAACAGAGAGUGCGUCGUGUACAUUUUUUGGAACAACAUAGUUGCGUUGUGUUUUGAGUGAAAACCUAAUUUUCUUUCACUCAAAGUUGCAUCUCUUCCACGGACCAUUGCUGCCAAGUCAAUUUUUUUUUUUUUUAGCGAGCUAGCAGGCCAGCCCGCCUUGCCCCACUGCUGGCCCAUCCCACUUUGCCACCCCUAAUUUAGAUUCCAAUACCGGUUUCCAAAGUCCUUAUUUUUCACAACCAAGUCCCCAUUAUCAUUUCCCAAGAAGAACAAUAUUAAACAAAUUUACAUCCUUAAUUCAUAGUCCUCCUUCCGAUUUGGAUUGACAUAGGAAGUCCCACUUGAUCCAGGCUAUCUUCCUUUUAUCACUUCCCCAUCCCCAUAAAAAAUCCCUUUGUAAUCUUGUGAUUAAUUUCGCAACUGCCAUAGACAUUUUGAACAGAGAUAAGUAAUAUAAAGCGACAGCUGAAACAUGACAGAUUUUAUCAAAAUAACUCUUCCAGCAAAAUAUAAAUGUUUUCCAUUCCAACUAGAAAGCUUAGUUUUAAUAUUUGAUUUCAUGUCUUUCCAAAACACUUUUUUUCCUAUUAUUAUCUCCCACAAGACAUUGUCCUGCACUUGAUAAUUCAAGUGACGUUAAUCUGCCGACGAGGGAGCAUUAGAGUUGGAAUCCAGCGGCUUGCUCUCUGUGCAAUUGGGGGUAUGGCAGCAAGCCUACUGUGGAGGGGUUGCAAGCCAAGUUUAGACUAUGGUAUCUUACAGUAUAGGAGAUUGGGAACAACCAUUUUUUCUAUCUUCUAUUGUCUAUUUAUAUCAAUACUACAAUCCCUCUUUAGGAAUUUGUUUGACUUGGCUCUAUGCAGGUUAAUUGCUAGGAAAUUUAGUGGCUGCUGGUGUUUUUUUUUAUGCAGAACCAUCUGUUUGCUAAGUUGUGUUAAGCUUUUCUAAGUCGUGGUAGAUUUGUUCCCGUAUGGCGUGGAAGAAUGUUUUUUGGUUUGACUAGGAGAAAACGUUUUGGUUAUCGUAUAAGAGUUUGAACACUAUAAAGUCUUCAUUAAAUUCAAUUAUUCUUUGUUAUAAAAAAAUUGGAAAAACUAAAUCUGUAUGGAAAAUCUCAUAUUCCACAUACUGAUAUAUAUAAUGAAUGUGCAGUCAUCAUAUUUUUGAAAAUUUAGAAUAUAUAUAUAUAUUUUAGAAUAUUUGAAAGAUGUUUUAAUUCAUAUAUAAAAUAUUAAAAAUUUAAAUAAAUCUUAUUUAAAAAAUUACGAGAAAAUAUAUAUAUUUAAAAUUUGUCCAACAUAACAUAUAAAAUAACUAUCAACACAACACUGCAUCCUAAAAGGCGGAAGCCUUAAAUUUUCAUUUCUCGCAAAAAUCUGUAUUUGCACCUGAAACAAAGCCCCACCCCACGACACUAACGCAUUAGUAACAUGUAUAUGAUCAUUUGAAAUGUUAUUGAUCGAAACUUAACAUUAUAAAAACAUUUGAUUUUGAUAACGUGUGGAAUAAGGAUUUGUUCGAAAUUGGAGUUUGGUUUGGUGUGAAAGAAUUAUCCGAAAAAAGAAAAAUGGAGAGGAAAGUGGUAGAGUAUAUAAAGACGAAAUGAGAUGAGUGGGUUUGAUAGUCACGGACGAGUGAUUCCCAUAUGAGGAGGCAAAUGACAUGAGGUGCGACAAAAGUGUCACAAUAUCUUUACUAAUAAUUACAAUAACGAACAUUUCAGAGACUAUACUGUCUCUGUUGGAUGCAGAGCACUGUGCCCAGCCAUCACACCUUUAUUCAUUUACUUAACGCCAUAAAGAUCUUUCACCAAAUGAAUAAUGACGUGAGACCUAACCCUAAUUGUGAGCAACCACGGCACUGCCCUACAGUGCAUGCUAACAUGCAAACAGUUCAGAGAGAGAAGAACUCCAUAAGAAUGUGAGUUUCAAAAGUGGUCAACAUGCUCAGGAAUAUUUCAAAAUGAUAGGCUAAAAAGGCUCAUCUUUAAGCAAAGGAAUGUCAACAAAAGCACAUCAAAAUGUGAACGGCGUUUAUCAAGUUUUGUAGUGCUGCUAAUGGAGUUAGUAACCAUUUUUUUUAAUUAAUAAUAUUGUUAAAUAAGUAUUUUCAUAUAUAUAUAUAUAUAUAUAUAUAUAAAAUUAUGAUAUAAGCACAUGUCUCUUUUUUAAAAAAAGAAAGUAGUUUGGUGUCUGAUAAAUAAUAAUUUAAAUGUAAAAAAUCGUAAUUAUAUUUUUGAUUUGUAUGCUGUCAUGCACGUUUAUACUAGUCUUGGUAUCUUAUGUGAUGGUCUUUUAAUAAGAUUUUUCUUGAAAAGUAAGGAAUUAGGUGUAUGAAAUACAAAAUUGGUACUGCUUUAUUUUUAAGUUUUGUGUAGCUGUAGUGGGUAUGGUAUAUGUUAAUUAUAGCUAGAAAACAAUGGUGAAAUUGAAAGGAAACCAGGGUUUGUCGUUUCCAUUGGAAUAUAUCGAAUACGUGAAGAUGCUGAGCAAGAGAGUCAGCAUCCUCGUCUGUUGAGCAUUGUGCACAACCUGGCUGGCUUUACCGUAUUUACUUUUCUAUCUCAAACUAAACUUUAUCAUGAAAUUCAAUGAAACAGUAAAUUUAUUCAGAUGUCUAUCACUGUCAAAGUGAGAGAGUACUGAAGAGAAAGGGAUCGAUGUACUCAAGAAAAACAUAAGAGUUGCAAUUUAUAGAAUCGAAAUCAUAGUUAAUAGACCAAUUAGACUUCUUUUCAUAACAAAAUAACCUUAAAGCAGUUUUAAAUAAGUUCAUACAUACGUAACAAGCUAUUUCUUUAAUGUUUUUUCAUUGUGCCUAAUCUUUUCCUUAUUACAACGUUGACUUUCCAAAAUGAUGAUUUGGCUAUGCUGCUGCCUUCAGGUCAGGGUCCAAAGAACUCAGUACCCAUGACACGUUGUUGUUGUUGUAGUUGUUCUCUCUGUGAAAAUCCACCAUUCAUAUUUCUAACCAUUCCUCCAACACCCAAAAAGUCUAAGGUCAACUUAUCAGAACCUCCAAAGUUUACAUUAUUAAGAUUCUGGGGCAACUUAUGGUUGGACUCGUCGACGUUGUGAAACCCAGAAAGGUUGUUUUCAUUCCCUUGCAUGUUCCUAAACAAGGACGUGUUUCCAUUAGCAAUAGAGUUCAUCAACCCUUGAAGAUUGUGGUGGUGGUGGUGACCAUUUUCAGCUUUGGAACCAUUGCUAGACAUUCCUCUAAGUAAAGAAGAACCGCUGGUGGUUGUGGUUGAACCCAUUUGAGAGGCUUUUUGAAGCAACACAGUGGCAGACAUAUGAGGGGAUGAUACGUUUUCUAUUGAAUCACCAAAGAGCGAAGAAAAACUUGAACCCACAUGAUCACUUACUGCAGGGUUGUUAUUAACAAAGAGUGGUGGUGGUGUUGUUCCUUGGUCACUACCACUUAUGUUGUUGAAUUGAUCAGGGAUAAUGGUGCUAGUGCUAUUGCUACUUGGGAAGAAGCUGAGGUUGAAGAGAUUGGAAUUAGGAGCAGCAACUGAUGAAGAAUUGGAGUUGUUAGUGUUGCCAUCAAGAGCAGUGAGCUGCAUUAGGCCAUGUAGUUGCUUGUUUGAGAAUAGUUGUCCUUGUUGUGAUUGGUGUUCUUCAAAUAAUGUUUGAUUGGUGUUGUUAUUCAUGAAGAAAGCUGAGGAAGGCAUUGAUUGUGGUGAGUGUCCAAAUGAAGACUGAUUUAGAGGUGGAAUCAAGUGCUCAAACUUAAGAGCUGCACCAAUGUUAGUGACUGUUUGGUUCUGAUUUUGAACUUGGGAAAGUUGGGUACCCACUUGGGAUAGGGUUAAACUAGUGUGGUUUGUGCCAAACAAAUGAGUUCCCAAAGGAUUUGAGCUACUGGGGUAUCUUGCACUCUCAUGUGCUAAUGCAUCACAGAACGCCCUAUGAGUGAUGAAACUGUCACGCCUGCAUCAAAAAUAUAAUAAAAGGUAUACAUAAAUUGACCACAUCUUCCAUUAUAGAAACUGACAAAGGUGAAUUUAUUACGUCGAGUAUUAAGUAAGACUUAAAAUUAUAUUAUUAGUAUGCUCCAGUAAGAAUACAAUAUAAUAAUCAAAAUGUUCCUAAUCAGCUCAAUAACAACUAUUAUGCCACCACAUCAACACAUAAAAUUCUUGAACCAAACCAUAUAUUAAUUUUAAUAACGUAUAUAGGUAACCUAACACCGUCCAACCUAAAGAAUUUUGGAACUGUAGAAGUUCAAGAUAUAUAUAUAUAUAUAUAUAUAUAUAUCAAUUAUUUAACCAACCAAUUCCAAAGGUAUAGUCAAAUAUAAAAUAAAAAAUAAAAUAGGAAAUGUUUUUUUCUUUGUAAUUGGAACUGCAAUUUUGAAAAUAAAACUCUAAUGGAAACAGAGGGCCCAGGGGAUCAUUAUACCAAAAGAUGAUACACACAAGAAAUCCAAAUCUAACUGCCACUUUAAGGUCUCUCAUUAAUCAAUAAAAGAGAAUUAUUUUCAGCUUCUGAUGAAAGUCAAUUAUCAUAAGACCAAAGAUGGGGCCAGUUCAAUAAAUGCAAACAACCUCAAUACUUGUCUAUUUUCUACGACGAGAAUUCAUUUCAAAGCAAUGGUAGAAUACAAAAAUUGCUGAUAUAGAAGUGGCGAAUUAAUGGUGAGAAUUUGUUUAGCAAUGAAUAAAGAAAUAAUGGGAAGUGGUGACAAUUAUGCAGCUCGGACCCAUUGCAAGAAGAUAAGUGUAUUUAUAUAUGAACCGAGCCAAGCCGAAAGAGAACAAAAGCCAGCAUCUCCAACUCAUGUGAGAACAAACCCAGUAUCACUAUGCCUGUUGCCUUUGCAGAGUUGCUUAACUGCACGUGAAUGGGAAUAAGGGUGGGGGCACAGUUCCCGAGGACCAAAGUUGAACUUGCUUGUUUUUCUUCCCAAAGCAUGUCAAUUUUGGUACCCCAUUUCAACAGUCUACUCACGUGCGAGCAGUCUCCUGCCAUGCCUCCACUAACACCCAAGGAAAUGAAUGGAGAAAGCUCUAGUUCACAUUUAACUUCUGUUUCGACUAUUUACUCAAUUUUUUCAAACUAGCGACACCUUCUUAGGUUGCGUUUAGAAAUGCUUAUAAUAAAAAUGCAUCAAGCUUAAAAGCUUUUACUAGUGUGAAAAAUUCAAAACCCACCAAAGAGUAUGAGAAACCCUAAUUUUUCAUAAACUGGAUGGUGUGUGUGUAUUAUAUACACAUUUGAAGAAUGUAUAAAGUGCAGUGGAAACUAAGAUAAAAUGGGUUGUUACCUAGAGAAGAGAGUGCCACAGUCACAUCUGUACUCUCUAGUGCCACAAGUCUUUGAAUGUGCUUUCCAAUCAGAUUGAACAGCAUAUUUCUUUGAGCACUUUUCACACUUCCACUUCUUCUCACCAUGCUUGCGAGAGUAGUGCUUCUUGAUUCCAGUGAGGUCUCCCAAAGCCCUUGAAGGAUCAUGAUGGACGCAGGUGGGCUCGGGACAAAGAUAAACCUUUCUUUUUUGCUCUUUUGUACUCUUCUGCUUUAGCUUCCAAGGAAGGUUGUGUCCUCUUCUGUGAAGCUGUAGGUUUUGCUCCCUUUGAAAUCCUUUAUUGCACACCUCACAUAUAAACCUGUUUGUUGCCAUUAGGGUCUUGGGAGAUAGUUUUAUCACCUCCGCGUCUGGAUCUUUUACCCCCACAAAAAUGACAAACAACAAAUUAUUAAAAAACUCUCAUGCUUCAAUCACUUGCUCAAAUUGAAUACGCACAAGAAACAGAAGAAUAAUCUUUCUUUUUUGACCUUGUUUUAGAACCACGUAGGAAUUUCAAUAGUAAUGAUAAAAAAAAAAAUACAAAUUUACGAAGAUUAUUAAAAAAUUUAAACCAGAAGUUUCAUGCUUUUGAGAUUCUUAGAGAAAAGCAAUCCAACCAUGAACUGAAUGUCUCUACAGUAAAUUAAAGAAGUCAAUAGCCCUAAAUCACGAAUAGGGUUUCGUCGUGUUUGUUAUUGAGAAAAUGAAAGAAGUGAAACAAAAUUGCAAAGGAUGUGUAUAUGUGUGUGGUUUAAGCAAUCAAAUUUAACUAAGCUACUUGCUUGGGGUUCCAGGUUGAUUCCUCCGUUUCUUUUGAGGAACUGUGAUUGGAGCAACUGUGGAGGGUUGAUGGUGUGUUGUAAUCUGAGGGCUUUCUUCUCUGGUUCCCGAGAAUGGAGUGGAUGAGGAAGCUGCCGCCAUAACUGUUGUGCAAAUCUGGAACUAAUAUCUGAACCAAAAGUAAACACCUAUCAAAUAUCCGAAUAUCCUUCUGCUGAAAGGAAAAAAAAAACCUCAAUUGCAUGUUUUCUUGUCCCUUGGAAAGAAUAAACAAAAAGAAAGGGAAAAAGAAACUACAACAGAAUGAAGAAAAAAAAAAAGACCUGAAGUAUGUUUGAUUUUUUCCCUGCUUUCUUUGUCUGUCAGGAAAAAAGAAAAAAAAUAGAAACUGAGAGAUUAAAUCACAAAAGAUACCGAGAGGAAAGUAUCUUAGGAGACAGAAGCAAACAGGAGACGAAGAGAAGAAAACAAUUCACUCUGAAUACCUACUUAUCUUCUGGCUAUUGUUUUCUUAUCAUAAAAUUUAGCUACUACUACUCCCUCUUGUUAUUUCUCAAUCAUUUGGUGUCAUCUAGACAGAAGAAUAAUAAUAAUAGUUAAUAACAUGCUAGCUUGUCCUCCAAAAGGCAUAUAUAAAUCAACUCAUAUGUAUCUCUUUUGAUCUCUGUGUCUCUUCUUUUCCCCUCUUCUCCUCAUGGUUGUGCAUUUUGUAAGGAGGAAUAAUUAAGGGUGGUAAAGUUGCCAGCGAAGUGAGGGAGGUAAUUUAUGUCACUGUUAUACUGCUCCUGCACGGGCUACUGUGUCCUUAGCAGAUGAUGGUCUGGGGCCACCGACCCUUUUAGCUCUCACACUCACCUUAUCUCUCCUUCUCUUCUUUCCUAUCUUUUUACCAACAACCAUACAACUUUCCUCAUUUUUUACCCAACAACUAAUUGGUUUAUGCAUUAUUAUAACUAUUGUUAAUUAUUACCAUGUCUACAAUACUUUCUUUAGCAUGGUUUUUAUCAGAUACAACUUUCCACUGUUAUUCGAUUAUAUAUGGUUACUAUAAACUGACAUAAAAGUUCUAGGAUUAGUUGGUAAAAAAUAUUUUCAAUCAAAAUCUUGUGGUAAUUUACGGACAAAGUACUUCGAACUCUUACACCUAAUCGUGAUAACUCAGUAGACAGAGAGCUUGCUGGUAGAUGAUGACAAUAUUUGGGUUUAUCUCCUAUUUUAUAAUAAUUGUAAUGGUAGUUUGAACUGUUUGCUUGAAGAUAUUUGCUUGGAAAAAUGUUAUCAGUUUGUAACCACCUUGGUAAACAGGGAUAAACAGGGAUUUUUGAAAUGAUGUUUGCAUUGACAAUGCUAGUUUGAAACAUUCUUUACCAUGCUUGUACCAAGUCUAUGUUGAAAUAGCUGCUUCGCGUGUAGAUGAAAGGGGAGUAUGGUAUGAUAAGAUUUGGUUCUGGAGAUCAAUUUGUCGGUCAAAAUCUAAUGCUAUAUCAGAAAAGCCAAGGCAAAUUUGUACGUAACACCGAAGUGAAAGCUACAAAGAUCAAACCAAAAUAUUUGCAUCUCUGCACUUAUUGGAAGAUGCUAAAGUUGCGUCCACAAAAAAAAUCUACGAACCCUUUGAAGCUCAAUUUUAUAAAAUGUGGUCGACACUACCUCUACAAUAUCACAAGGACGAGAAAGUUAGGAGGGUUGAGGGGAAAGUAUAAAAUUUUGAGUUCAUUUAAUAAAUAUAUAACAUUACUUUUUAUGUUAAAUAUUCAUAAUUGUGUGUUUUUUUAAAUGAUAAAAAAUAAUAUAAAAAAUAGGAUUGUAUGAUAAUUAUUAUCUAUAGAGUAAUUUAAAUAUAAUUAUUUUAGAUCUCUUUUUUAAUUUUAGUUGUGUUAAUUUAAUUUACUUUUGAAUAAAAUUGUUCUUUAUGUUUAAAUUUAGUUUUAAUUUCAUGUUAUAUACUUUAUCUUUGUUUUUUUUAGUUCUGAAGGAUAAAAGUUGUAAGAAGACGUUAUCGUGAACAUUAAAAUAGAGAAAAUGAAGUUUCCUAUUUAGAUUUACGCGAUAAAAAUUUACAAGAAGAAUUUGUAUAUAUGCACUUUAAGCCACCCAUUUUGUAGGCAUUUUAAGCCAAACUUGAGAGGAAAGUAGUGCUUAAAUAGUUUAUUUUGGACAGCCUAAGAAGUUCCAUCUGAAGUCCACUAUGGCAGAGGUUGAGUGUCUAUAAAAGACAAAAAAAAAAAUAGAACCUUAUUUUCAUACAAUUAUACACUUUGAGACAUACUUGGAGACACGGAAAAAUUCUUCUCCUUUUGAAGGAUUAUUUCUCUAUAAUUGAUAAGAAGUAGCUAAGUUUUCUUUCUUUCGUAGAAGCUUAAUACACUUGAAUCUACAUGUAAUUGUUAUGUUUUUUUUUUUAUUUAUGUAGUAGCUAUUAUUUUUUUUAAUGUUCAGUUAUAACUGAUAAAUUGGAGUAAUGGUAUGAUUUUAUAAUUUUUAUUAUAAUUCAAAAUAAGUCAAAGAUUGGUAGUAGAAUCAAUUAUAUAAUCAUUAAAUAAAAACUAAUUUUAUAGUAAAAAAAUAAUUAGUUACUAUAUUGACUAUAUUAAAUAUUAUUUUAGAUAUUAAAAAAAUUAUUAGUAUCUAAAAUAAUUUCUAUUAUUAAUAAAAUUUAAAACUAGUUUCAAAUUGAUAUAUUUUCCGACCUCAAGUCUAUUAAGAUAAUAUCACUAGGAUCAAUCACCACAUCUGAGAUAUUUGGAGCUCGAAGUUCCAUUACAUUUUUUUUUUCUUAAAAGGCCUCUAAGAAGUUUAAAGCACUAGUGCAAAUAAUGCUUUUUACAACAACAUAUUUGGUUGGUUAAGAAAGAACCGGUGUAAAGAAAAAUACGGUGACAUUUUUGUAAAUAUUGUGCAUAUAUUACAUUGGUUGUUACUCCUAAUCGGUGUAAUAUGUGUUGAUUUUGAGUAAUUUUUUUUAAAAAAAUUACAUUUUUACAGUGAUAUAUUAAAUCGGUUGUUAGGUCCAAGCGGUUAAUAUGUAUUGAUUUUGAGUGUAAAAAAAUUAUUUAAAAAUUACAUUUUUCUAGUGACGUAUUACAUUGGUUGUGAGGUCCAACCGAUGUAAUAUGUAUUGAUUUCGAGUGUAAAAAAAUGUUUAAAAAACUACAUUUUUUGGGAUGAUAUAUUACAUCGGUUGGGAGAUCCAAUCGAUGUAAUAUGUAUUGAUUUGUCUUUUAAAUGUAUAAAUUUUAAAAGGUAAGUGAUGUUAGGGGCAUUUAUUACAUCGAUUAUUACUAAGAAUUGAUGUAAUAUAUGCAUUCACCUUGUUUUUUUUUUUUCUUGUGCACUCACUGCUCAUUUUGCAUUUGAAGUUUGUUUGCUGAGUGUAAGACGUCUGAGCCACUGCCACCAUUGCCUUUGUUACCACUAUUUUUGUUGCCAUCGCUCACGCUCCCUUUGUUGUCACUACCAUCGCUUCUCGUUGUCGCCACUGUUUGUUGUGCCCUUGUUCACUGCCACCGAGAGUUGUGUUUCAUUGUCGCCAUUGUUCGCGCUAAUGUCGUCAUUCGCUGCUACCAUCAUUCAUCUAGCCACCAUUGAAAACUUCUGGUCCUGCCACGUUAAGGUAAGUUUUAAAUAUUUUUAUUAUAAUUUAUUAUUUUAUUUAGAAAUAAAAUUUUAAUUUAUAUAGAAAAUUAGUUUUAAUAUAAUAUAUUAUGUUUGGAAUAUAAUGUAUAUUUUUUUAAAAAAAAUUAAUUUGUUGUUGUUAAUUGUUAUAUGUUGAACGCUUUGAUAUUAGGUUUGGCGGUGUUCGACCCUCGACAAUGUGUACUGUGUUUUAUAAUACAUCGACUAAAAAGUGGGAGAGAUUGAUGGAUAAACCAAGUGCUUUUAUUACAUAGUAAUGGAUUGAAGUUGGAUAAGUGAUUCUACACUUUUCUCAAUGAAAUGUAGAAGCUAUAAAUGGAAGAUAUUAUUAUCCAUGUGUUAAUUGUUUGAAUGGGAGACUAUAAGAAAUUAAGUUGAUACGAGAACAUGUUGUGAUGGUUUCUUGAAGAGUUAUAUAACGUGGAUAUGACAUAGUGAAUUUGUAGACAUAACACCUCUAUUUAAAUUUCAAUAUUCUAAUAUACACUUUGAAGAUUGCAUGGAGGACAUGAUUCAUGAUAUUUGAGAAGAUAGUUUCCGACAAGCACAUAUGUGUGAUUCAUUGAAAGAUGAUUCAAAACCAUCUCUAUAUCUUGGUUGUUCAAGUUUCACAUGUUUGUCUUAUUAAAAUUAAUUAAUAUUAAGGCAAAAAAUAGGAAGAUCGAUAAAAGCUUCACUAAAUUAUUGGAGUUGUUGCAUGAAAUGCUUCCAAAAGGUAAUACAUUGUCGACCCUUCAUAUGAGGUGAAGAAGAUAUUGGGUCUGAUGGGUACGGAGUACUAGAAAAUACAUGCAUGUCCUAAUGAUUGUAUUUUGUAUAGAAAAAAAGGUUUGAAUCAUUGUAUAGGUGUCCAAGAUGCAGGAUAUCAUGAUACAAAGUGAAAAAUGAUGACAGUGAGGAAGAUGAUGUGAAAAAGGGUCCUCCUAAGAAAGUAUUAUGAUAUCUUCCAAUCAUACCGCGAUUUAAACGUUUGUUUCCCAAUAUUAAUGAUGCAAAAAAUGUCACAUGGCAUGCAAAUGGAAAAAAAAUGUUAGGUUGUUACGACAUGUUGUCGAUUCACCACAAUGUUAAUAAAAUCAAGAGUAGAAUGGAAAUAUGUAAAAUGAGAUUUUUGUUGUUGGCGGGUAGAGUAUGCUUACUAAAGUCUAUCAUUUCCUCUUGACCCCAAUACUACAUAUCUUUUUAUAAAAUUCCAGCUAUUAUAAGACAUCAAAUUAGAACUAUCCAGAGGAAUUUUUUAUAGAGGAGGUGAAACAAAGGAAGAAAUAUAUCAUGGUUAAAAUGGGUGGACAUAUGUAAACCAAAGGAAGAGGGAGGCUUGGAACUUAAAGAUGUCAAAUUGUUUAAUGUAACAUUGUUGUCUAAGUGAAAAUGGAGGUUAGGGUAACCACAAAGGACUGUGGAAGAAUAUUUUAGAAUUUAAGUAUGGCUUUUGAGGAACUUGAAUGUUAAUGGAAACGUCACUUACGAGUUAUGGCGGUGGAGGGACCUAAGAGGGGUUUGUGGGAAGGCAUAAAAGGGGAAUGGUUUGUGAUAAAUGCUAGAUUUCAGUAAUACUUUAUAUUAAAAUACAUGCACUUGUGGAUAUUAAUUGAUAAAAUAACCACAAUAUAACCCCUAAUUCAUGAACUAAAACCUUUUUACAUAUUUUCUAAUUAUAAUUUGAAUAAGAACGAUUUAUUCCCAAAUUUGUGUUAAUUUCAGGAUUUUAGGAAAGAAUGAAGAUGAAAGGGUAAAAGGAUAAUAUACAAAGCUAAAAAGGGAAAGUUGGAAUGCACCAACACUUACCCUAGAGGAGACAGCUGUCAAGGAGAAACAUCCUGAAUCUUCUUUUCAUGCUUUCCAUGCUUGUAAUAGCCAACAUGAGUGGCUAAUUCUACCAUUUGGGAAUGAGAGUAAUCUGUUCAAACUCUUAUGUAUUGAGGUGAUAUUUAAAUAUAAUAUUUUUUCUUGAUUGAUGAUUGCUAUUGUCAUUUUAUUUGUAAUGCUUGUUUACCAUUAUCAAGAUCCUUAGAUUUAACUGGAAAGUACUUCUAAGUUUCUAACCUAAAUGAUAAUGUUAGGAAUAGAUUUGAAAUGUUAAUUGCUAUCAACAUCUAAUCGUAAUGAUAAGAAGUUUUUAUAAAUAUGCGAGAAAUCAAUAUUUAGGAGACUUUCUUAAUAAUUUUAUGUGAGUAAUCGAUAUAAAUUACUUUUAUAUGGACAUCAACAUCAAUCAAAAGAUAAAAUAUUACUAUGCUAAUCAAAAUACAAAAGAGUAAGAAAGACGAACCUCAAUCCCAAUAUUCCCAAUUGAACUAACAAUCUCUUUGACUUCUUUCUUUUUAAUUAUUGCAAUCACAACAAACUCCCAAAAAACUUUAUUAUUUUGUUUUCUAUUUAGUGAAUCUUAUACUUGAUUAUUCAAUGUUCCUUGUGGGUUUGAUAUCCUUCCUUAAGGAUCCUCAUGAUAUCCUUCCUUAAGGAUCCUCAUGAUAUCCUUCCUUAAGGAUCCUCAUGAUAUUCUUCCUUAGCAAUUACAACAUGGUGUACUUUUCGUAAAAUAGUCAUGAAGUUUUUGGCACCAUUAUUGGAAAACAAUUGAUUUUUUAGUAUAAAUUCCUAAAUAUUAUGAAUAUUUUAAUUGCUUUUAACUUUUGUUUUAUUUCAUUUUAAUUGCAGAUUUGUGUUAUUUUAUUUCAGAUUUAUUUUAUUUUACUUUAUUUGUUUUCAAUUUUAAAUUUUUUUAAAAAAAUUACUGUUAGUGAAUCCUUGUGUUAACCCUUGAUUUAGUUGUCUUAUAUGAUAUUAAAAGGUCAAAUUCCCAAAGACCAAAUAUUAUUUGAAUCAAAGAUUGAAAAGGCAGCUAAAAGAAACAAAAAGACAAAGACAAAAGAAAGACAAGGAGACGCUAGAGAGGAAUCCUCAACCACUUCUUCCCUUCCCAUUAAUAUUUUUCAGGAGGAGAAUAAUAUGGCAUAAGAGCAGACACCACCUCCUAGGAGAACCCUUGGAGAUUAUGCCAUGGAGCAAGGGCCAAGGCAUUUUUCUAGUAUUGCAAUACCUGCUACCUCUAGGGUCUUGGAGAUGAAACCCGUUUUCCUUAGUCUUAUCAGUACCCAUCCGUUUACAACAAUGGAUCAUGAGGAUCCAUAUACACAUUUGUCUACAUUUUAUGAACUGGUGGGAAAAAUGGGCUUCCAAUCAGGUGAUCUAGAAAAUGUUUAUAUGCGUUUAUUUUCUUUUUCAUUAGCAGAAAAGGCAAAAUAAUGGCUCAAAUCACAUCCAAAUCAAAGUCUCAAUAGUUGGGAGGAUGUAGAGGAAAAAUUUCUACAAAUGUUUUUUCCAUUAUCUUGCUACAUCAAAGCAAAGUCUGAAAUAUCUAUGUUCAGACAAGGAGCAGAUAAAGCAUUUUGUGAGACAUGGGAAAGAUUUAAAAUGACGCUGAGAAAAUGUCCAAAUAAUGGGUUUGAAGACAUUGCUCAAUUGAGCAUUUUUCACAAUGGUCUCAUAUAUGAUAACAAGAUGCUUCUAAAUGUUGUAGUUGGUGGUACAAUGAUGGCAAUUGAUGCAAAAGAAGCAACAAAGAUUAUUGAGGCAAUGACAUCCACAAAUUAUCAAGCCCAAAAUGAUAGUAAAAAUGAGCCAAAGAAGGGGAUGAUGGAUCAUAAUUCUUCAAACACAUUUUUGGCUGAAAACUAAAUUCAAACACAAUAGUUGGAAGCAUUAACUGCACAAAUGGCUAAAUUGCCACAACAAUUACAAGUUGUGCAAGCUUAUUAGAGUCAGAGUCAAUCAAUAAAGUGUGAUUUUUGUAGAGGUGAUCAUUCCAAUGGGCAUUGUACUUAUCAGAAUAAUUCAUCUGAAGAAGAAGCUCAUUAUAUGGAAAUAAAGGAGGUAAGGUGGGUUCUCCAACAAAAAUACUCAAGGUUGGAGAAGCAAGCAAAAUCAAAGUUUUAAGCAACAACAACAACCAUUAUAUCCUUCAUCCCAAGAGAGAGAAAAGCAAACUGGAGGAUACCUUGGAGAAACUGCCCAAUAAAGGAGCUUUGACAUUGUUGUUCAAAGUUUGAAGACACAAAUGGGACAAAUUGCACAACAGUUGAAGAAAUCCAAGGAGCAAUGUAAGUCAGUCACUACUAGAAGUGGAAUAGUUAUAGGAAAGGGGAUUGGUGAUAAUUUGAUUGUUGAAAUAAAGGAAAUAAUGGAAUUAGUGGCUCGUUUUUAUGUUGGAUGUUCAAACUUGUUGUAGGAUCACACCUCUCAAGUUGUUUUGCUAAGGGGAUAAAGGGAUUUUUAGGGCUAAAUAUGUUUACAGAGAGAGGAUCUCUUGGUUCAAUAUUGUAAAGAAUUCCCGCUACAUCAAAUAUUGGAGACAAGAUUUGUUGAUCCAUUGUAAGGAAUUUUUGUUACCUCAAACUUUGGAGACAACAUUUGGGUUGAUUGAUUAUUUGUAUAAAUAUAUAAGGACAAACUAGCUAACAUAAGGAAUAGUCAUAUGUUAUUUAUUUGUAUAUAAGGUUGAAGCAUUCCUAUGUACUCAUUCUUUGUAUAUAGAUUUUCUUUAUUGAUAAAAAAGUACUGAAUUGUACUUAUUCUUUUUAAAAUACCACUAGCAUACUAUAAAAUAAAAUUUUUUUAAAAGUAAAUGAUACUUAAAUAUUUCAUCUAAUAGAAAAAACUAUUAUUAUCUCUAAAAAAAGACUUUAAAAAAAAUAUCCAUAGCUAAUUUCUUUUAUAAAAUUUAUAAGAAAUAACUUCUCCAAAUAUUUUGUUUUUAAAUUUUGUAAAGUUUCACAAAAUAUUUAUAGAACAAGUUGCACAACAUAUAAAAAUAAUAAUAAAUUUAUAAAAAAACAACAUUUAAGUAUUUUAUCUUUAUAUAUAAAUAUCAAAUAAAAAUAAUUACUUAUAAUGUAUAUUAAUUCAUUAGAAAAAAAGUAAACCCCCAUAUUAGCAUAUACAUCUAUUCUAACAUUAUCAUAACACCUUCACUACAUGAAAAAAUGGUUUUAACGGGAGUUUAUUUUUACAUUAUUAAAGGUUAAAACCUCUCUUAAGUCAUUUACUCAGGGCAGUUUCUCCUGCUAAAUCAUCUUUGAGAAAUGUGUUUCCUGGGGUUUUUUUAAACAUUUGGAAAAAUCUUUCAAAAUCCCCGUUAAAUAUCAUGGGCUUAAGAACCUCCGUAAAAUUUCAUAACCUCCGUAAAAUACUAUGCGUUUUAGGACCUCCGUAAAAUACCACGAGUUUCAAAACCUCUGUAAAAUAUCAUAGGUUUUAGAACCGCUGCAAAAUACCAUAGUUUUCAAAACCUCCAUAAAUUUUAGAACCUCUGUAAAAUAACAUAGGCUUCAGAAUCUCCGUAAAAUAUCAUUUGUUUUAAAAUCUCUGUAAAAUAUCAUAGGUUUCAGAAUCUUCAUAAAAUACCAUAGGUUUCAGAACUCCGUAAAAUACCAUAGACUUCAGAACCUUCGUAAAAUACCAUAGGUUUCAGAACCUUCGUAAAAUAUCAUAUUUAGAUGUUGUUCUCUAAUUAAAUUAAAAAUUUAUUUUUAAAAAAAUAUAUUUAAAAAAAUGCAAAUUAAAAAAAAUAAAAAAUGUAAAAAAGAACUAAAUGAAAAAAAAAAUACUUCUUAAAAUGAAAGAUAAGUGAAAGAGGAGCAAGUCCAAUAUAGAAAGAUUCAAGCCUAGAAAGCGGGUAGGGAUAGAAAUGAUAUGGAAAU
rnacentral:lncRNA from 1 species